UUGAGAGUCCUCUAUCCACAGCUCCUCUAUCUUCCUCCUAAACCUUUUACCUUUCUUUUUUUCUUCUCCAAAGCUAGCAAGCUGAGAUUUCAACCUCUCCCUCUAAGAGGCAGCGACAUGCUUUUCCAAAUGCAGUCUGCAAUUUAAUCAAACAGCCAUCGAAUUUUCUGGAAUCCGGUCAACGCAGAGAUGCUUCGGAUUUUGACCGGUCAACGCUAGCUGCUUACCUGAGCUCCAACAGACCCAACAGUGAUAACGUCCUCCACCUCUGUUUCUGUUUGGAUGAUUAUGCUGUUUGGCUUCUUUCACCUCCGCAAGCUUGCUGCCAAUGUCGAAGGUAUGUCUCUGUGUGUUAUUGAAUUUGGGAGUGUUUGGUUGUGGGAACUGGAAUGAACUAAUGAAUGAAUGAACGACUGGAAACAUUCCCGAAGAGGUUGGAUCUUUACUUGGCAACCUUGCAAAACUGCGUUUCCUGUAUGAACCCCCAUCCUUUUGUUAGAGAAUAUCUGUCAUCUUUCUUUUUCAUUCGAUAUGCUAAUCUCCAGAGUCCAUUUUUAACAUCAAUUUAGGAAAAUUCUGAAGUUUUAACAUAGUUGACCAUCGUGGCGUUUUUGUUGACUUUUAGGGUUGACCGUUCAAUUUUCGUUGACUUUUUACAAAAUUUGCCCGGGAUCCCUCUUAGCGUAUUUUGAUGCUCUGAUUCCAAAUCUGCACUUCGUUUUCUCAAAUUUGAUCGUUUAAGUUGAGUUUUACUAAUGGGUCCCAAUAUUAUACUUGGGCGCGAUUAGUAUCAGAGAUUUCAACUUUCUUAGCUCAAAAGGAUGUGACAUCGUAAGUACCUGUGAGUGGGUCUUUUCUUAUAUAUAUAUAUAUAUAUGUUAGUUUCCAUUUAUAUAUUUGGUAAAGAAUUUUCUACGUUACACCUAGAUUAGGGUAACGUAUAUAAAAAUUAACGUAUUUACGGAAUUCAUGCAAUUAUACUACAUCUUACAGGAUACACAUGUAUGCGUAUUAGUAUGGAUGCUUUAAUGAUAUUUACGGUUAUGAAUAAUAUUUUGACUAGGGUUAUUGAAUUAUCAAAUUAUCAAUUUACCAUUGCAUGAUCAUAUUUGUGUUAUCUGCUUAUUGUGUGCUGCACUGGUGUUAGUACUUGCCUGAGCGAGGGCUAAUCUUUCAGGUGUAUGUUCAUAUCGCAUCAUAUGCUCACUUUGGAUCCAUUGUAGGUGCCAGUCAUGUCCUAGAUUGCGAUAGGCAAUUAGGACUCGUAUGUGACGCACUUAGCGCCCGUUCACGUGAUUGUAGUACUAGAGCGUGAAUCAUUAUUACAUCUAAUUCUGUUCAUGUCAGAAUACCUCUGCAUGAACUCAUGUGUCAACAUAUGCCAAUAUGGACUCGAUGUGAUAUGUUUAUUUUUGCGAGAUACUGUGAUUACUAGAAAUUAUGUACCUAUUUACAAAUUUUGUGACGUAUUGAAUUCUUGAGAUUUUGCAGGCUACGGUAAGUAUUUUCAUACUAUAUUUUGGAAAUAACCUCAAUUCAAUAAACAAUAGGUCAUAAUAAUUUAACAAAAAUUAAAAAUAAUUUUGUUUUUUGACAAAAUGAUCAAAAUAAUUGAUGAUGAAUAAAAUCAGAAAUCUCAUAACAAAGUUAAGAAUUGCAUAACAAUUUCAAGAAUCAGCUAAAAAGUCAAAAAUAAAUAUAAACAAAUGAAGAAACGAAACUUCCGAUGCGGCGGGCUACAGCUUUGCCUGAUUUUGCUGUUUAUUUUAACGAAAAAUCAUAUUUUUACACUAAAAAGUCAAUCAUGAUACUUUUCACUUUACUCUUUAUUUUAUCAUUAUCGUUAAAACUCAAAAUUUUCAAAUCAUUUUAAUUAGUUUUUCUUUAAAAUAAUUUAUAGUGGAUAAAACCAGAAAUCUCAUUUUGAGUGAGGAGUUGCAUAACAAUUUCAGGAAUCCACUAAAAAGUAAAAAAUAAAUAUAAACAAAAGAAGAAACGAAACUUGCGACGUGGUGGGCUGCGACUUAAGACUGAUUGAGAGUCCUCUAUCCGCAGCUCCUCCGUCUUCCCCCCGAACCUUUUACCUUUCUUUCUUUCUUCUCCAAGACUAGCAAGCUGAGAUUUCAACCCGUCUCUCUAAGAAGCAGCGGCAUGCUUUUCCAAACGCAAUCUGCAAUUUAAUCAAACAGCCACCGAAUUUUCUGGAAUCCGGUCAACGCAGCGAUGCUCCGGAUUUUGAUCGGUCAACGCCAGCUGCUUACCUGAGCUCCAAAAGACCCAACAGUGAUGACGUCCUCCACCUCUGUUUCUGUUUGGCUGAUUCUGCUGUUUGGCUUCUUUCACCUCCACAAGCUUGCUGCCAAUGUCGAAGGUAAUGCUCUGUGUGUUAUUGAAUUUGGGAGUGUUUGGUUGUGGGAACUGGAAUGAACUAAUGAAUGAAUGAAUGACUGGAAACAUUCCCGAAGAGCUUGGGGGUUUGUCGGACUUGGUGAGCUGGAUCAUUACUUGGCAACCUUGCAAAACUGCGUUUCCUGUAUGAACCCCCAUCCUUUUGUUAGAUAAAAUCUGUCGUCUUUCUUUUUCAUUCGAUAUGCUAAUCUACUGUUUUUAAUUGUUCCUUUGGAGUGACUUUCUUCCUUAAAGUCCAUGAUAGCAUUUCGGUUAAACCCAAAAUAUUACUUGGGUUGACUAUGAUCUCCCAAUAUUCUGGUCAAGGCACAAUACAAAACAAGUGAUAAAACAAUACGAAAAAAGAACAAAACAUGGGAAAACACGUAAUUGGAACCUUGAAGGCAAAUAUUCCAUGUGCCGGAUGCAUACAAUUUAAAAUAUGACCCCUGUCUUCAAGAUUCAUAAGAAGGGAACAUCCAAUCAUUGCAAGUCCUGUGGGUUUCAUACACUUUCAUCUCUGUAAGAGGGAGGAAGAGCGAAAAGUUACUAAUUUCUCCGCUAUCAGAGAAUGCUAAUAACAUUUAGUUUUGCCAUGGAAUGCAGGGAUCUUUCAAAUAACAAUCUGACGGGGGAUCUUUUUCACUUUUUACUCCCAUCACAGGUUUGUUCUAAAGUGAAUUACAUGCAGGUUUUUACAACUUAUACUUUUUCACUUUUAACGGGCUGAGCCCAAAUCCUAAACUUAUUACUUUCCAGAUGGCUCUGUUUUGUUCCACUUCCAGCCUCUCCACAUCCAGGUUUUUACAACUUAUACUGUUCUUGUGAUAUUAACUCAAAUUUAUUCUGAGAGCUGGCUCUAUUUUGUUUCACAGACACUUGUGAUAUCAACUCCAGUCCAGUCCUAGUUAAUGUUUUUUUUGGUGUUUUUCUGUUAAAACUUUUCGUAAUACAACAUUAUUGUUGGAAUCACUGCUGUAAAGAUUUUAAGAAGAUGGUAGUUAGGAAAGGAAUAGAUUGAGGGUAUUUAUAUUAUUCUGAUUAGAAAGUUAAGUGAAUUUAUUGUUUUUGAUUUGUAAACAAAUUGCUUACAAAUAAUCAAAUUCUAUUAAACAAAAAUAAUUGCUUACAAUAAAGUAUAACUAUAAAUAUCAUUGUAAAAUGUAUUUUAUAAAUAUUUUUAAUUUAUGUUUUUUAACGAAUUGAGAACGAAUCAAACUGAAUAUCAUAUUGUCUAUGUGUCUUUGGCAAAUGAUACUACAGGUUACUACCGAAUUUCGUACCUUAACCGAAUUGCGAACUCGAACCAUACCCUGUAUGUGGCAACUAUGGGUGCCAAGUACUGGGGCUAUUUCUGGAGGGGGGCUAUUGCUGGAGGGGUUGCUGCUGGUUCUGCUUUCCUGUUUGCUGCACUUGCAAUUGCAUUUGCUUAUUGUCGACGAAGAAAAUCACAGGAUUAUUUCUUUGAUGAACCUGGUUAGUGAACUAUUAAGAGUAAUAUAGCUUGAUCAAGUUGGCAUUGUAUGGGAUGCAGGUUUCACUCAUCUACUGUCUUUGCAGCUGAGAAGGAUCCAGAAGUUCAUUUACGACAGUUCAAAAGGUUCUUUGAGCGAGCUACAAGUUGCGACGGAUACCUUUAGCGACAAAAAUAUUCUUGGUAGUGGUGGAUUUGGUAAGGUUUAUAAAGGACGCUUAGAUGAUGGAACUCUGGUUGCUGUAAAAAGACUUAAAGAGGAGAGAACCCAAGGCGGGGAGCUACAGUUCCAAACAGAAGUUGAAAUGAUUAGCAUGGCUGUCCACCGCAAUCUGCUUCGUGUGCAUGGUUUUUGCACGACACCAACAGAAAGGCUGCUUGUAUAUCCUUUUAUGGCCAAUGGAAGUGUGGCAUCAUGUUUAAGAGGUACUCAUCUAAAUUGUUUGCUGCGUUGAUGAAUCUUUUUGUUUUCAUGACAUUAAAAUUUUUUUGGAUUACAUUGAUAUAAUGAACCUGACCAAUUUGGUUUGGAGUAUGAACACUGAUUUUUUUUUUUUAAUGUUUUUUUUUUCCUUCAAUUUUAAGUUAUCUUCUCGAUGCUGAUUUUAUUUUGUUUAAUUUGAAAAGGAUGACAAGAUGACCCUUUUUUGGGUAGGACGGGUGGUAUGAUAUGUGUUAGACCACAUUACCUGUUGCUUGUAAUUUGAAAUUCUCCUCUCAUAAGUAUGUGGAUAUAUUAUUGUAGAUCGUCCAGAAGGACAACCUGCACUUGAUUGGCCAAUAAGACAACGCAUUGCAUUGGGAUCUGCAAAAGGUCUUGCUUAUUUACAUGAUCACUGUGAUCCAAAAAUUAUUCACCGUGAUGUGAAAGCAGCAAACAUAUUGUUGGAUGUGGAAUUCGAAGCAGUUGUUGGAGACUUUGGGUUGGCUAAACUCAUGGACUACAGGGAUACACAUGUUACCACAGCUGUACGUGGCACAAUUGGUCAUAUAGCACCAGAGUACUUUUCAACUGGAAAAUGUUCCGAGAAAACUGAUGUUUUUGGAUACGGAGUCAUGCUUCUUGAACUCAUCACUGGGCAGAGGGCUUUUGAUCCUCAGCUUGCGAGUCAUGAUGACCCCAUGUUAGUUGAUUGGGUAUGCAUUUACAUCUUUCUGUUUGUGUAUGUAGCUAAUUUAUUGUUAUAUGCAAGAUUAUUAUUUCUUGGGAGCAGCCUCUCCAUAAAUGGGGGUAAGGCUAGCCGACAUUCACCUCUUCCAGACCCUGCGUAAAGCGGGAGCCUUGUGCACUGGGUACGACCUUUAUGCAAGAUUAUUAUUUCCCAACAACAUUUGCAUUUCCUUAGUAAUUAGCUUUUAGAAAAUAAGUUUGGUUUAAUUAGCUUUUAUUAGUUAGAGUUGUGAUUAGCUGUGAAGAUUUGUUUAUCUUUAUUUAUAACAAUCUAAGGUUUAAGCUGUCAGAGUUAAUUUUUGCAUUUCCUUAGUAAUUGUUACCAUUCCUGUUUGAUUAAUGUAAAAAUCACUUGUCUUUUUGGCCCGAAUGUUGAAAACAGUAAGAAUCAUGGAUCAAAGAAAAGAAAUAAUACUUAACUUUUAGAAAAUAACUUUAGUUUAAUUGGCUUUUAUUAGUUAGAGUUACGAUUAAGCUGUGAAGAUAUAUUUAUCUUUAUUUAUGACAAUCUAAGGUUUAAAUUGUCAGAGAUUAAUUAUUACAUUUCCUUGGUAAUUGUUGUUAGUAUUGUUGUUGCUUCUUUUGCCAAUGUAUUGGCCUUGCUGUGAUUUCUUGAAGAAUUUGGCAUGUGUUUUGUAUCGAUCCUAAUUUCCUCAUCAUCUCUUUAUUCUCGCUAUCUUGGCCUCUUGCUUCUUUCUAUUCUCUCUAUUUGCAUCUUUGUCAAUUGUUAUAUUUGAAUGACGAUGCAUUUUUGUAAGCUAUUUGAUUUUCUGGAGAUACUGCGGCCCUUCAAAUUUUGAACAUUACAACACAUUUUCACUCUCCUAGGUGCCCUCACCUUUUGUUUCAAAUUGUAGAACUAUCUGACGUUUUCCGUUUUAUUUUAACUAAAACAAUUAGGUCAAAAGACUACUGAAAGAUCGAAGGUUGGAAACACUUGUUGAUGCUGAUCUAAAUGGUAAUUAUGUUGACGAUCAAGUGGAGCAGCUCAUCCAAGUAGCUCUACUGUGCACACAAGGCACCCCAGGGGAACGACCCAAGAUGUCAGAGGUUGUUCGGAUGCUGGAAGGCAAUGGUUUGGCUGAAAGAUGGGAGGAGUGGCAAAAAGAGUAGGUGUUCCACCAAGAUUUCAACCCUAUUCAUCAUCCAAGUACUAAUUGUAUCAUAGACUCAACUUUUCAUAUUCCUCCUGAUGAGUUGUCCGGUCCCAAAUGAUAUGCUCGUUGGUUCUGUCCCCUGUAUACAUCUAAGAAGCCUUCAGAGGACUGGAGAAUGUCCAUUUCGUAUUUCAGUGAUACCACAUUUGUGCUUAUGUUUUGUCUUUGUUUUCAAUUUUGGUUUUGUCUUGCGUAUUUUUUAGAUCAUAAAAUGGAGCUGAUGCUAUUGUAAUUUGGGAUGUGCUAUCCACACAUCACUUUUUACUUCUCACACACCCCUUGUUAAUUUCUGUCCGUUGAUCUUCUUCAAUUCAUCUGAUCCGACGGCCGAAAACCAAAAAGGUGUGGGAGAAGUAAAAAGGGGUGUGUGGAUAUCACACCCCUUGUAAGUUUUAUAGGGUCAACUGGCAUUACGAAGUUAUAUGGUGCUAGCAGGAAUUAGGAAGGGCCAUAAAAGCACUCAUUCCUGAUGAUUUAUGUAUCUAUCUAGAAAUUAGUCUAAAUUGUCGAGUAAAUAAUCAUUCUAAACUUAUAACCAUCUAUAUAUUUUAGUGUUCCUAUAGAUCCUGUAGAUACGAUAAGGACACUAGGUCAAGUGCAUGGCUGGUUGCGGAUGGAUAGUGUUUGAAAUUUCAUUGUGAUCAUUGCAAGUGCGAAUUUGUGGCACCACCUUUAUAAGUACUUGAACUAAGGCAGUAGGGGAUCAGGAGAUCACUUUGUGUCAUUCCAACACAGGAAUUCGAGCUUUGUCUAAUCUCUUUAGAGUAUCGCCAAUGGGGAUCCCUCUACUAUCUUUGAGGAUUUAUUUAGGACUAGCUGUAGGGUAAGACCUAAACCUAAAUAUUUGAGUUUAAACAAAAUAAAAAUGCAAUCUAAUUGUGGGACUUUUUUGUUUUUUAUGAACAAAAAAAUAUUAUCUGGAUUGAGUUAAGCCUUAUAGUGGGCUAGUAAUGACCUCUCUUACAUGUGAAGAGGAAUACUAUUAAACCGUAGUACUAGGUAAUAUCUAAUGGUUGGACUUAAACCUAAAAGGUUUGGCUUUUGACCAAGCUAAACCCAAAUUUGGGUUUGUAUUUGGCUGACCCAAAUUUUUGGGGGCCCUACCUUUUUUUCUGAAAAGCAACGGGCCAAUGAUUUAUUGAAGUGGCCGCGGCAUAUGGGUUAGGGGUGGUUCGGUAUGGGAUCCCAUACCAAAACACUUGUCCCGAUUCUCAAACCGAAAUUUUCGGGAAUCCCAAUUUCAAUACCGAUCCCAAACCAAAUUUUCGGGAAUCCCAAUUUUUGGGAAUCCCAAAAUAGUUUCGGGAUUUCGGGACAAAUCGGGAAUCCCGAAAUGGUUUUGGGCUUUUGGGCUUUUAGACUAAAAUUUGACAUAUUAUGCUUUUAGGCCCAAUCUGCCAAUUUGUUUCUACAAAUCUGCCAAUCAAAUCUGCCAAUCAAAUGGCAAGGCUUGUUUCUACUAAUCUCUACUUAAUAUUAAUACUAACACUUAGUUUUCAUUUCGAUGCAGAGAGUGAUGGAUCAACUGCAAAAUAGUGAAAGAAAACUAAGAAGCUCAAAACUGUACACAAAAACCAAAAUCAAGCAAAACGAAGAAGCUCAAAACUGAACAUUGCAAAGUAAACGCCAGAAACUGAGCACAGAAACUGAGCAAGCAUGCCAAGAAUCAAAGCAAACCCCACAAGAGUCAAGAAAUGAUAAUUGAGUCAUUCGAAGAGUACCCAGACAAGUUCUGUGCACAAAUUUGACAAUAUGGCUAGCAAAUAGCAAGCAAACAACAAAUAAUUAACAAGAACUAGUAACAGUGAGCAGAAUCAUAAGGUCUGAUUAGCUCACCUUCAUCAAGCACAAUUCCGACGUUCAAUCCCUUGAAAACAUCAGAUUCAGCCAGCUUCUCAGCACCGUCGUGUCCCCCAAUCUCCUCAUCAGGACCAUAUGACAAAUAAACAGACCUUUUGGGCUUAAACCCAGAAGCCUUGAGCCGUCGAAUCGCCUCCAAGUACUGAAUCCCGACGCACUUCAUGUCCUGGGACCCCCUGGCGUAAACGUCGCCGUUCGAGUCCAAGUUGGCCGAGAAAGGGGGGGUGUAACCACUUGUCGUGCUCGGCCGGAACGAUGUCGGUGUGGGAAUUGAGAAGAACAGAGGAGAGAGAGAUGAGAUGAGGGCUUGUCGGCUAGAUGAGGGAGAGAUCAGAGAUGAGAGAUUAGGGCUCGGCUAUUCGAUUUGAUAGAAACAAUGGAACGAAAGUGAAGUUUGUGAAAUGGUAUUCUGACCUAAAAACAUAUGAACGGCAAAGAUUAAAUCCAAAACAAUGAACGGUUGAAAUAAUUCUUUUAUAAUUAAAAGAAAAAAAAAAAAUAUAUAUAUAUAUAAUAUUUAUUUUCGAUUCGGUCUGGGAAUACCGAAAAUUUGAGAUUCAAAACCGAAUCCCAUACCGAAAAUAUCGGUUUGGUUCGGGAUUACAUACCGAAAAUUUCGGGAUUUUUGGUUUGGGAUUUUUUUGGUUUGAGAUCGGGAUUUUUUUGGUUUGGUUUGGGAUUUUUGGGAUUUUUUUCCGGGUUCCUCAUGCCAGCUGCAAAACAAUUUCAGGAAUCAGCUAAAAAGUCAAAAAUAAAUAUAAAUAAAAGAAGAAACGGAACUUCCAACGCGGUGGGCUGCGACUUUGCCUGAUUCUGCUAUUUAUUUUAACGAAAAAUCAUAUUUUUACAUUAAAAAGUCAAUCAUGAUACUUUACCUUUUAUUUUAUUAUUAUCGUUAAAACUCAAAUUUUUCAAACUAUUUUCAUUAAUUUUUCUUUAAAAUAAUUUAUAAUGCAUAAAACCAGAAAUCUCAUUUUGAGUGAGAAGUUGCAUAAACAAUGUCAGGAAUCCGCUGAAAAGUAAAAAAUAAAUAUAAACAAAAGAAGAAACGAAACUUCCGACGCGGUGGGCUGCGACUUAGACUGAUUGAGAGUCAUGUAUCCGCAGCUCCUCCGUCUUCCUCCCAAACCUUUUACCUUUUCUUUCUUUCUUCUCCAAAACUAGCAAUCUGAGAUUUCAACCUCUCUCUCUAAGAAGCAGCGGCAUGCUUUUCCAAACGCAAUCUGCAAUUUAAUCAAACAGCCACCGAAUUUUCUGGAAUCCGGUCAACGCAGCGAUGCUCCGGAUUUUGAUCGGUCAACGCCAGCUGCUUACCUGAGCUCCAAAAGACCCAACAGUGAUGACGUCUUCCACCUCUGUUUCUGUUUGGCUGAUUCUGCUGUUUGGCUUCUUUCACCUCCACAAGCUUGCAGCCAAUGUCGAGGGUAUGUCUCUGUGUGUUAUUGAAUUUGGGAGUGUUUGGUUGUGGGAACUGGAAUGAACUAAUGAAUGAAUGAAUGACUGGAAACAUUCCCGAAGAGCUUGGGGGUUUGUCAGACUUGGUGAGCUUGGAUCUUUACUUGGCAACCUUGCAAAACUGCGUUUCCUGUAUGAACCCCCAUCCUUUUGUUAGAUAAAAUCUAUCGUCAUUCUUUUUUAUUCGAUAUGCUAAUCUGCUGUUUUUAAUUGUUCCAUUGGAGUGACUUUCUUCCUUAAAGUCCUUGUGCCGGAUGCAUAUAAUUUAUAGUAUGAUCCCUGGUUUCAAGAUUCAGUCAUUGCAAGUCCUGUGAGUUUCAUACACUUUCAUCUCAGUAAGAGGGAGGAGAGAGUGAAAAGUUACUAAUUUCUCUGCCAUCAGAGAAUGCAAAUAACAUAUAGUUUUGCCAUGGAAUGCAGGGAUCUUUCAAAUAACAAUCUGACAGGGGAUAUUCCAGUUAAUGGAUCGUUUUCACUUUUUACUCCCAUCAGGUUUGUUGAAGCAACUGUACUCUUUUUCUUUAACUUUAGGGACAAAAAUAACAAUCUGACAGGGGAUACACUUUCAUCUCAGUAAGAGGGAGGAGAGGGUAAUAUAGCUUGAUCAAGUUGGUGUUGUAGUUGUUGUAUGGGAUGCAGGUUUCACUCAUCUACUGUCUUUGCAGCUGAGAAGGAUCCACAAGUUCAUUCACGACAGCUCAAAAACUUUUCUUUGCGCGAGCUACAAGUUGCAACAGAUACCUUUAGCGACAAAAAUAUUAUUGGUAGAGGUGGAUUUGGUAAGGUUUAUAGAGGACGCUUAGCUGAUGGAACUCUGGUUGCUGUAAAAAGACUUACAGAGGAGAGAACCCAAGACGGGGAACUACAGUUUCAAACAGAAGUUGAAAUGAUUAGAAUGGCUGUCCACCACCGCAAUCUGCUUUGUCUCCAUGGUUUUUGCAUGACACCAACAGAAAGGCUGCUUGUAUAUCCUUAUAUGGCUAAUGGAAGUGUGGCAUCUUGUUUAAGAGGUACUCAUCUAAAUUGUUUGCUGCGUUGAUGAAUCUUUUUGUUUUCACGACGUUAAAUUUUUUUUCGAUCACAUUGAUAUAAUGAAUUUAAAAACCUGACCAAUUUGGCUUGGAGUAUCAACACUAAUUUUUUUAAUGUUUUGUUUCCUUCAAUUUUAAUUUACCUUCUCGAUGCUGAUUUUAUUUCUGUUUAAUUUGAAAAGGAUGACAAGAAGACCCUUUUUUUGGGUAGGACGGGUGGUAUGAUAUGUGUUAGACCACAUUACCUGUUGCUUGUAAUUUGAAAUUCUCCUCUCAUAAGUAUGUGGAUAUAUUAUUGUAGGUCGUCCGGAAGGACAACCUGCACUUGAUUGGCCAAUAAGACAACGCAUUGCAUUGGGAUCUGCAAGAGGCCUUGCUUAUUUACAUGAUCACUGUGAUCCAAAAAUUAUUCACCGUGAUGUGAAAGCAGCAAACAUAUUGUUGGAUGAGGAAUUCGAAGCAGUUGUUGGAGACUUUGGGUUGGCUAAACUCAUGGACUACAAGGAUACAUAUGUUACCACACAUGUAUGUGGCACAUUUGGUCAUAUGGCACCGGAGCACUUUUCAACUGGAGUGUCUUCCGAGAAAACUGAUGUUUUUGGAUACGGAGUCAUGCUUCUUGAACUCAUCACUGGGCAGAGGGCUUUCAAUCCUCAUCUUGCGAGUGAUGAUGAUGUCAUGUUAGUUGAUUGGGUAUGCAUUUACGUCUUUCUGUUUGUGUAUGUAGCUAGUUCAUUGUUAUAUGCAAGAUUAUUUCCCAACAACAUUUGCAUUUCCUUAGUAAUUAGCUUUUAGAAAAUAAGUUUGGUUUAAUUAGCUUUUGUUAGUUAGAGUUAUGAUUAGCUGUGUAGAUUUGUUUAUCUUUAUUUAUAACAAUCUAAGGUUUAAACUGUCAGAGAUUAAUUAUUGCAUUUCCUUAGUAAUUGUUACUAUUGUUGUUGCUUCUUUUGCCAAUGUAUUGGCAUUUUGUGAUUUCUUGAAGAAUUUGGCAUAUGUUUUGUGUCGAUCGUAAUUUCCUCAUCAUCUCCUUAUUCUCGCUAUCGUGGCCUCUUGCUUUUUCCUAUUCUCUCUAUUGCAUCUUUGUCUUCUCUUUGCAUGAUAUCAAUAUUUGAAUGACGAAACAUUUUUGUAAGCAGUUCGAUUUUCUGUAGAAAACUGCGGUCCUUCAAAUUUUGAACAUUACAACACGUUUUUGUUCUCCUAGGUUCCCGCACCUUUUGUUUCAAAUUGUAGAACCACCCGACAUUUUCUGUUUUAUUUUUCCUAAAAAAAUUAGGUCAAACGACUACUGAAAGAACGGAGGUUGGAAAGACUUGUUGAUGCUGAUCUAAAUGGAAAUUAUAUUGACGAUCAAGUGGAGCAGCUGAUCCAAGUAGCUCUACUGUGCACACAAGGCUCCCCAGGGGAACGGCCCAAGAUGUCAGAGGUUGUCCGAAUGCUUGAAGGCGAAGGCGAAGGUUUGGCUGAAAGAUGGGAGGAGCGGCAAAACGAGGAGGUGAUCUGCCAAGAUUUCAACACUAUUCAUCAUCCAAGUACUUGGAUCAUAGACUCACCCUCUCCUAAUUUUGUGUUGUACUAUUUCUUUGAGUUUGAAGAAAUGGAUAAAAAGAAUGACAUGUGAUAGAGAGUUCAUCAUAUAACUUCUGACUUUAAGGAUUUUUCAUUUAGUUCUGGUUCAUGUUGCGCAAAUAAUAUUAGGUAACACUGCUACUGGGGCUAUUGCUGGAGGGGUUGCUGUUGGUGCUGCUUUAACGUUUGCUGCAACUGCAAAUACACUUGCUUAUUGGCGACGGAGAAAACCACAGGAUCAUUUCUUUGAUGUACCUGGUUAGUGAACUAUAGGAGUAAUAUAGCUUGAUAAAGGUGGUGUUUUAGUAUGGGAUGCAGGUUUCACUAAUCUACUGUCUUUGCAGCUGAGGAGGAUCCAGAAGUUCUUUUAGGACAGCUCAAAAGGUUUUCUUUGCGCAAACUACAAGUUGCAACGGAUAACUUUAGUAACAAAAAUAUUCUUGGUAGAGGUGGAUUUGGUAAGGUUUAUAAAGGACGCUUAGCUGAUGGAACUCUGGUUGCUGUAAAAAGACUUAAAGAGGCGAGAACCCAAGGUGGGGAGCUGCAGUUUCAAACAGAGGUUGAAAUGAUUAGCAUGGCUGUCCACCGCAAUCUGCUUCGUCUGCAUGGUUUUUGCAUGACACCAACAGAAAGGCUGCUUGUAUAUCCUUAUAUGGCUAAUGGAAGUGUGGCAUCAUGUAUAAGAGGUACUCUUCUAAAUUGUUUGCUGCGUUGAUGAAUCUUUUUGUUUACACAUGGGUAAAUUGCAUUUUACACCCUCAGGUUUGAGUGUAAUUGCAACCUCAUACAACAUUUUAAAACAUUUCAAUUUUAUUUAUUUACUUAUCAUUUUUAGCAAUUUCAUACAUCUGAUAGUCAAACCGUCAGUUUGACUGUUAAGGGAUGACAUGGCAAAUGUGAGGUCUACAUUUUGUUGACGGGGAUGCCAACUAUGAUUCACGUGGAAUAAAAACAAAUAAAAAGGAUUAAUAAAUAGAAAAUUAAUUUUUUUUUAAUUUAAAACUAAAAAAAUAGAAAAGAUUAAAAAAAAAAAAUGGUGUUGUUCAUCCCUAUCCUGCUCUCACCCCGUCCCCGCAUUCUUCAUUUCCCCCCGCCCACCAUCGCCACCUUCCCUUUCCUCAGCCACUGCAAUGAAUAGACCACAUUACCUGUUGCUUGUAAUUUGAAAUUCUCCUCUCAUAAGUAUGUGGAUAUAUUAUUGUAGAUCGUCCCGAAGGACAACCUGCACUUGAUUGGCCAAUAAGACAACGCAUUGCAUUGGAAUCUGCCAGAGGCCUUGCUUAUUUACAUGAUCACUGUGAUCCAAAAAUUAUUCACCGUGAUGUGAAAGCAGCAAACAUAUUGUUGGAUGAGGAAUUCAAAGCAGUUGUUGGAGACUUUGGGUUGGCUAAACUCAUGGACUACAGGGAUACACAUGUUACCACAGCUGUACGUGGCACAAUUGGUCAUAUAGCACCAGAGUACCUUUCAACUGGAAAAUGUUCCGAGAAAACUGAUGUUUUUGCAUACGGAGUCAUGCUUCUUGAACUCAUCACUGGGCAGAGGGCUUUUGAACUUGCUCGGCUUGCGACCAAUGAUGAUGUCAUGUUACUUGAUUGGGUAUGCUUAUACGUGUUUCUGUUUCUGUUUGUUGCUAAUUUUCUGUUUUCCUUAAUAUGUUUCAUAUUUUAUUAAAAAAAAAAGACAUAAUGUUGUUGAAAUUCAACGAUCUAUUGUGUCUCUUUGUCCAAAUCUUGGAAAUUAUGUUUCAAUACUCAUUUUUAAAGAAAUGUUAUAUAAUAUAGUGUGAAUUAGGUGUAUCUCUCGAUACCAAUGUUGCUAUUUAUUUAAGCCAAAAAUAAUGGGUCUCGACACCUAAUCACUUUAUUUCAAACCGCUAAUCUCAUAUGACAUUCUUAAUCAUUGUAUAUGGAACAUUUAAAAACCUAUUACUCAUCAUAGAGCUGCCAAGUUCCUCUCUAAUUAAUGUAAAAAUCACUUAGUCUUUUUUGGCCCGAAUAUUGAAAACAAUUAGAAUCAUGGAUCAAAGAAAAGAACUAAUACUUAACUUUUAGAAAAUAAUUUUAGUUUAAUUACCUUUUAUUAGUUAGACUUACGAUUAAACUGUGAAGAUUUAUUUAUCUUUAUUUAUAACAAUCUAAGAUUUAAAUUGUCAGAGAUUAAUUAUUACAUUUCCUUGGUAAUUGUUGUUAGUAUUGUUGUUGCUUCUUUUGCCAAUGUAUUGGCCUUGCGGUGAUUUCUUGAAGAUUUUGGCAUGUGUUUUGUAUCGAUCCUAAUUUCUUCAUUAUCUCUUUAUUCUCGCUAUCUUGGCCUCUUUCUUCUUUCUAUUCUCUGUUUGCAUCCUUGUCAUAUGUUUGCAUCAUAUCAAUAUUUGAAUGACGAUGCAUUUUUGUAAGCAGUUUGAUUUUAUGGAGAUACUGCAGCCCUUCAAAUUUUGAACAUUACAACACAUUUUCACUCUCCUAGGUGCCCUCACCUUUUGUUUCAAAUUGUAGAACUAUCUGAUUUUUUUCCUUUUUAUUUUAACUAAAAUAAUUAGGUCAAAGGACUACUGAAGGAUCAGAGGUUGGAAACAAUUGUUGAUGCUGAUCUACAUGGAAAUUAUGUUGACGAUCAAGUGGAGCAGCUCAUCCAAGUAGCUCUGCUGUGCACACAAGGCACCCCAGGGGAACGACCCAAGAUGUCAGAGGUUGGCCGGAUGCUGAAAGGUGAUGGUUUGGCUGAAAGAUGGGAGGAGUGGCAAAAAAAGGAGGUGUUCCGCCAAUAUUUCAACCCUAUUCAUCAUCCAAGUACUAAUCGGAUCAUAGACUCAACUUCUCAUGGUCCUCUAGAUGAGUUGUCCGGUCCUAGAUGAUAUGCUCGUUGGUUCCGUCCCCUUGUAUACAUGUAAGAAGCCUCAGAGGACUAGAGAAGGUCCAUUUUGUAUUUCAGUGAUACCACAUUUGUGCGAAUGUUUUGUCUUUGUUUUCGAUUUUGUUUUUGUGUCGCUUAUUUUUAAGAUCACAAAAAUGGAGCUGGUGCUGUUGUAAUUUUUAUAGGGUUAACUGGCAUUACGAAGUUAUAUUGUGCUAGCAGGAAUCAGGAAGGUCCAUAAAAGCACCCAUUCCUAAUGAUUUAUGUAUCUUUCCAACAAUUAGUCCAGAUUGUCGAGUAAAUAAUCUUUCUGAACUUAUAACUAUCUAUAUUUUUUAGUGUUCUUAUAGAUCCUAUAGAUACAUCCUAUAGAUACGAUAAGGGCAUUAGGUCAAGUGCAUGGGUGCUUGUGGACGGAUAGUGUUUGAAAUUUCAUUGUGAUCAUUGCAAGUGCAACUUUGUGGCGCUACCCUUAUAAGCACUUGAACUAAGGCAUUAGGGGAUCUAGAGAUCACUUUGUGUCACUCCAACAUGGGAAUUCGAGUUGUCUAUCCUCUUUAGAGAAUCGCCAAUGGAGACCCAAACCUAAAUAUUUGGGUUUAAACAAAAUAAAAAUGGAAUCUAACGGUGGGACUUUUUUUGUUUUUUUGAACAAAAAAUAUUAUCUACAUUAAAGGGGUAGGGGAUUAUGUUAAUCCUUAUAGUGAACAAAAAAUUACUAUUUAAUAUUUUAUAUAUUUAUUCAAAAUUUUAUAUUAUUAUAUCACUAUUUUAAUAUUUUCUUUGUGAUAUAUUUUUAUUUUUUUAUUAAUAUUUUCGGCCUGUGGGGUCCACAAUCACCCAGGCUCUUCUCUCAUUUUCUGCCAUGUGUUUUGUCUCCUCCCUCACUCCACCUCUCCCUCUCUCCCAUAAGACUCAUUUCCUCUCUCCUUCGGUGAAACCCAAUGACGCCGAAACCACCACCACCUUGCCGAUGCGACUCCAGCGGGUUACUCCACUUGAUGACCCAGGCUAGCACCACCUUCGUCAUUUUCUCCCCCUAUGUCGAACCAGCACCACUCACUUUCUUCCCCGAGGCCAUUGUUCACAUUUUUCUUUUUCGACAACAUUCAUGGCGAGUUCUCGUCGUUCAUGACAAAGGUAAGGUUCGAAAACCCUCAACAUCUUCGUAGAUUGUGUUUAUGAGUAUGACGAGGAUGUUCUUAAGAUGUUUUAGUGCUGGUUUGACGUAGAAAUACCCCAAGAGUAACAAACCCAGUGUUCCGGCAGAGAUCUGGCGGCUUUCGAGCCAUUUUUUGGCCAACUCCGGCCAAGACCAAGGAAACCAAAGGUAUAUUCCAAUUCCUUGAUCCGAAUCUGAACUCGGGAUCCGGCCCGAUCUGUUCUAAAUUGUAUAUGAAAUAUUCCAGAAUAUUCCCUGUGUUGACUUUUAAGAAAUUUUCUCAGAAACCCUCAUAGGCUAAUUUUGACGUCCCAAGUCCAUUUUUGACAUCUAUUUAGGAAAAUCAUGAAGUUUUAACAUAGUUGACCACCAAGGCGUCUCGUUGACAUUUUAGGGUUGACCGUUCACAUUUCGUUGACUUUUUACAAAAUUUGCAUUUAACCCCUCUUAGCGUAUUUCGACACUCUGAUUCUAAAUUCGCACUCCGUUUUCUCAAAUUUGAUCGUUUAAGUUGAGUUUUACUAAUGAGUCCUAAUAUUAUACUUUGGUGCGAUUACUAUCGGAGACUCCGACUUUCUUAGCUUGAAAGGAUGUGACAUCGCAGGUACUUGUGAGUGGGUCUUUUCUUUUAUAUAGUGUGUAUAUAUAUAUAUAUAUAUAUAUAUAUAUUUGUUAGUUUCCAUUUAUAUAUUUGGUAAAGAAUUUUCUAAGUUACACCUAUAUUAGGGUAACGUAUAUAAAAAUUAACGUAUUGACAGAAUUCAUGUAAUUAUACUACGUUCUAUGGGAUACACAGGUAUGCGUAUUAGUAUGGAUGCUUUAAUGGUAUUUACGGUUAUGAAUAAUAUUCCAUUGACUAGGGUUAUUGAAUUAUCGCAUUAUCAAUUUACCAUUGCAUGAUCAUAUUUGUGUUAUUUACUCAUCGUGUGCUGCACUGGUGUUAGUACUUGCCCAGGCCAGGGCCAAUCUUUCACGUGUAUGUUCACAUCGCACUGUACGCUUAGUUUGGAUCCAUUGUAGGUGUAAUCCUAUCCUAGAUUGCGAUAGGCAAUUAGGACUCAUAUGUGAGGCACUUAGCGCUAGCCUUCACGUGAUUGUAGUACUAGAGCGUAAAUCAUUGCUUACACCCAGUCAUGUUCAUGUCAGAAUACCUCUGCAUGAACUCGUGUAUCAGCAUAUGUCAAUGAGCACUCGAUGUGAUAUGUUUAUUUCUGCGAGAUAUUGUGAUUACUAUAAGUUAUGUACCUAUUUAUGAAUUUUGUGACGUAUUGAAUUCUUAAGAUUUUGCAGGCUACAGUAAGUAUUUUCAUACUAUACGUAGUAUGUAAAUUUUGGAAACUAUACUUGUUUUACGAUAAGGGGUUAUAAUGUUUUCAAAAAGCUUUUUAUAAAACUUUAUUUUAGGCCCACUCACCCUUGUUUUUCUCCCCUCUAAGAUUUAGUGGCAAUGUUCGUGUCGACAAGGAUUUCUAGCAAACGCUGAUAUCAGAGACUACUUCUGAUGGUAUAAUUCUCAAUCUACUCUAUUGUACUUUACUUAUACUCUGACAUCACAUGUGAACUAGGUUGAUUCCCGCUCACUAACGCACUCUUAUACUUAGGCACUUUUAGAUUUAAAUUUAUUUCCAUUUUCCAAAUCACUAUAUUUUAUGGCUUCGUCACUCUCCUGGUGUCGACCAGCACACCUCGAUUCGGAGCCUAAGUAGGCAUUCCGGGUCAGGGUGUGUCAGUUUGGUAUCAGAGCAUAAGUUUGGUCAGCAUUGCGUUCAUCACACGCGUGCUGUAAGCAUUCUUGGUUCUUGAACCUAAUUGUCGAAUCUUGUCACCUCGUCGAAUACAAAAAAUGUGUUAGCUUUUCUUGAGUUAUGGGUUACUUAGACGACUUAUUGACAUGUUAGAAGAAUACUUUGGCGACCACCUCUAAACUUUAAGCGAAGGAUUUUCCUGCCAAGGAAAUAUGUAGAUUUGAGACAAGUUGAUGGCCCUGAAGCAGGGCUACUAUAUCGAUAGUUGUGCAUCACGAGAGAUUUACCAACCAAAUCCACUACCAUCUGGUCAUUUCUACCAACCCUUUUAAGUUAGAAAACCAUAAACAGUUUUGAUUCCUUGGCAUUACCCGUUAGUAUACCACAUAUCAGAAUUCCUGUGAAGUUUUAGUUUUUGUCAAAAUUUCCAAAAAUGUCCCGAAUGACAAUGUGGUGCUAAAAGGGUAGCAUUCGACAGAAGAACAUCUAGGGGAUAAUCACUUUUGUUCCCUGAUAACACUAAUCUUCUUAAGCGCACUGGUUAUCAUUUCGGAUCCUCAGGAGGAAGAUCGAUUUCCAUUUAGGUUAUUAACAAAUUUCUUUUCCGGUGUGGACCCCACCAUUGACAUUUGGUCAACAGGUCUUGAACCAUUUGAAUUACUAAAAUUAGUAUUACUAGAGACUCAGUGAAGCUUUGCUGACUUGUCUCGGUGAGUGACUUUAAUAUAUGUGAUAUGGUGAUUACCCGAUUCUUUAUAUUACUAUCCUUUGUGGAUAUGACAUGGUUUUAUAAAUGUGUUUUCUGUUAAAAUGUGAUUCUUUUAUAAUUGGCCAUCGAUCUAUUUUUAUUAAAUGUGAUUUGAUUCAUGGAUUGGUAAUAUUUGUGAAAAAGUGAUUCGAAUUGCAUAUUGAAAUGUUUUGUAAAUUGAGGGCUAGUAGAGGACUAUGACCCUGCUUGGUUAAUCCGCAUUGGGGGGUCAUUAGUGGUCCUGCUUGGUUAAUCCGCAUUGAGGGACCAUACUAUAUAUGGAUCGUGCUUGGUUAAUCUGCGUUGGGCGAUCCUUAUGGCCAUUUAUACUUAGGGGUGAUCAUGCUUGAUUAAUCCGCUUGGUUAAUUCGCAUUGGGGGGGGGGUGAUGAGUUCAUAUUAUACUAUAUAUUUCACCCUAUUCUUAGUAUUAAUUUAUUGAUUAUUUUGGUAGAAUUUUGAUACUUUGUUUUAUAUUUUCAACAUAGGAUAUUCAAUUUCCUCUGGAACAAAACUUGACCAAAUGGACGAAAUUUCGAGUGAUUCAAAUUGGAGGACGUUCGUGUGUUGUUUGUGUCAAAAUAUCAGAAAUUUCUACCAAGCGGUUAUUUUCUGGAGAUUAAAUGAAGGAGCAGUGCGCAUUGCUGGAAAGUGACAUUUCUGGGCUUAAACUACAUUUUUGGAGCCCGAGAUGACUUCGGCUGGAGAAGUGUUCAGAAUAGUCCAAACUUUAGAUCCAGCUAUUUUGGGCCAGUUUAGGAUUAUAUUUCCUAUUUUAUUUCUAUUUAUUACGUUUCCUGGUUUUAUUCUAAGACCUUUUAGGGUUUUAUUUUGUAUUAGUAUAAAUAAGGCUUUUUAGCCAUUAGGUUAAGAAAUAGGGGAGAGAACGCACACAUUUUGGCUUUAGAGAGCUUUUGACGAAUCAAGUGUAUUUUCAAGGUGUUUUCUAUCCAUGUUUUUAAUAAUAUUUUAUUUUAUGAUUGUUUGUAAUUAGUUUUGUUUGCUAGGGUGAGGCCACGAGCCUUAGCAAAAAUAUGUAUUUUUUUUUUCAAUUUGCUUAUAAUAUUAUGCAUGCAAGUUUUGAAUUAUUAACCACUGUGCUUUAAACUAUCUAGUUGUCUUGAUGAUUGGCCACCAUUAGGAUAUUUAGAAAAGUAAUUUGAUGCAAUUUUGGUGGAGGGCUGUCCCUGGAAUUGGCGUUGGCUUCUUGUGGUUAAUAUGUGUAACCUCUUAGGAUGGACGACAUGUUUUAAGGGUUAUAUGGUUUUUCAAAAGGUUUUCACAAAACUUAAUGAGUCUUGCAUGUUCACAUUCGAUCUGGACGCCACAGACGGGUUUCAAGUAGGGCAUACUUUAGGAAAACCUAACCUUCAAAAUAUGCAUGGGUAAUUCAUAAGUAAUUGAAAGAACUACGUAGAAUUGUUAAGGUGACAACGGAACCCUAGUGCUCAAAUUUAUUUUCAAAACUAUUUUCUUUUGUUUUUUUUUAUUACUUUGCCAAUUUAUUUAAUUUUUUUUAAUAAAAUUCAUUUUUAAUAUUUUAGGUCAUAAAAUCAACCUCUUCUAAAUUUUGUUUUCAAAUCAUUAAUUAAGAUUUGGUUUUAACAUAAAUUAUUCAUUCAAUCCCUGUGGAGAUCGACCUUACUUGAGCUGCUAUACUAUGACAACCUUGUACUCUUGCAAGUAUUUUUAAAUGUUUUUAUCUCUAAUUUUGCAGGUGGUAAAAAUCCCUACCAGAGGGUCACUAGUGGUCUUGCUUGGUUAAUCCACAUUAGGGGACCAUACUAUAUGUAAAUCGUGCUUGGUUAAUCCACGUUAGGCGAUCCUUAUGGCCAUGUAUGCUUAGGAGUGAUCAUGCUUGGUUAAUCCGCAUUGGAUGAUCACUUCCUAACAGCUGUAGGAGUGACUCUGCUUGGUUAAUCCGCUUUGGGGGGGUCACUGCCUACUUGGUUACUUUCUCAUGGGUGGCUUUGCUUGGUUAAUCUGUUUUGGGAGGCCACUUCGUGUUUGGUUACUUAUGUAGGCUUCUGCCGAACUGCGUCCCUCUAGCCCUAGUUUUUAAUGUACAUAUGAACGAUGGUUUUUGAGAAUCUUGGUGGUUUGAAUGGGAAAAGCCAUUGGAUGUUUGGGUGACUCAUUCGGAGUUGUUAGAGACUUGACUAUGUUUUCAUAUUUACAAACUUAUAUUUGAGGUUUAUAAACUGUGAUUGAUGGUCUUUCUUUUUAUUGAUUAUCACAUACUUGUAUUAUUGUCACUCACCCGAUUUUACAUAUGACAGGCCUGGGUAGAUUAUGAGAAACCGCUUGAUAUUUUGGUUUCAUUGAGUAAUCCGGAACCCGGUGUCGUUGGAUUCCGUUGAGUGAUUCGAAAUCCUUGUUCUCGCUCAUUCCCAUAAGGUUAGUCUAGAACCCUAGAUUUGAGUGAAUGAAAAUUACCCACAAUAGACCUUGUGAAUAUGAAAUAGAUUUACCAUGUUAUUACUGAUAAUCCAAGUAGAAAAUUAUAUAGAGUUCCUUGGUUAAAUUUGUGAAAUGAUAUGUUAUUGCAUUCAUUGAUUAGCAUAUUUAAAUGCUAAGAUCAUGUAUCUUUGAUUCAUGAAUUGAUUGAUUGACGGAAUUGUGGAAUGACUUGGUUAUGGUUGUUAUUAUUUUGAUUAUUUUAGUUGAUCAAUGUGGCUUGAGAAUAAUAUGUGCUUCGUUGGUUAUUUGAUAUGUUACAUGUUGUGGAUGGAAGUAUCGUGCUGAAAACAUAGAAUUUAUAUGAUGGAUGGAAUGAGAAUCUUGAACGGCAUGUUGGUUUGUUUUGUAGCCAUGAACUUGGUAAUGUCAUGCAUGUCAAGUUCUAAUAAUUGAUUACAGAAUGCUAUGUAUUCCUAUUAGAACGCACUGGAAUAAAUGUCUAAAUUAGUGAACGAUGAACUACGAACGGCUUGAUCCCUAAUGAGGGUACGUAGGCAAUCUAACGAGGAGGUUAGAUGCAGCCAUAAAGUAUACGAAAAAUUACUAUGCGAUUCAAUUCUCAAGUUGUGAUUUGCCAUAUCCCGGAGGCGGGGUAUGUUGAGAUACGGGUAUUUGGUGACGUCACAUGUCGAUCCUGAACAUAUGUUGGGAUCGGGGCGUGACAUUUUUGAUCACUUCCAUAGGUAGACAGUAGAAUCAAAGUACGAGUUAAUUUCUUGCUAUUAAAGUGAAUUGAGUAUCGAGAAAACUAUGAAGACCUUUUAGUUCAUGUCGUAGAGUUGGGAAGUAGUAUUGUACGUUUUGAUGACGUAUAUCCAAGUGUCUAUUUCAAAAAUUUACCUGAGAUAUCACCAAAUUGUGAAGUAAGAUACACUAUCAACCUAUUUUCUAAUACGACACCUAUUAUCCUUGCAUCUUAUCGAACGACUCCUUUGACUUGAGAAACUUAGUUACAAAAGCUUAUCGAUUAGGAAUUCACCCAACCAAACACUUUAUCUAGGGAACCCUAAACCUAUCCAAGAAGACAAUAGGUUGAACCUUAAAACUGUAUCUAGAUUUUAGCAACUCUAUCGAGUGACAUUUAACUCCGUUAUACCAUACUUUGAAUUUAUGGUCUAUCCAACCAACCUCUGAGCCCAAGUUUUCUUCCGUAGCUUGUCAAAUUCGUAGUGGUUUUACCGAUGACUUUCUCACCUACCGUAGCAACGGGAGCAAAUUUUCUAAACACUGACAGUCAGCUUUAUACCAAAUUCCUCAAAUAUUACCUUUGUUUUAGAUUUCUUGGGAGACGUGAUCUCAACAGAGACGUUCUUGUCAAUUUCCAAAAAGGUUGCACAUGAAGAAGAUUUCAUAUUCCACAAAUCGUUGUGAAUAAUGCGAUAUCCUUGGCCUUGUUGGUUAUAUCGACAUUUCGUUAGUAACUUUUCAGCAGUGGUGUUUUUCCUUGCAAGUUGACCGAGGAAAAUCAGUUUAACUGAGAUGUGGAAUAUGAUUACAGUUGUGACAACUGAGGUGUUGUCUAUUUCUUACCCUUGUUCGUACACCUUUCGAUAACAUUGAAUGAUUUGGCUGCAUACUGAUAGAAUAUGACGAAGUAUUGCUUAUGUUUCCCAACGGUUGAAACCAUAUAAAGUGAACUAACUUACUAUUGACCUAGAGUCAACAAUUACCAUCUUUCCUUGAAACUGGAUGACACUUCUCUAUGGAGAAUCUUGUCCAAAAUCUGUACCAACCUUAGACUUCUCAAAUACAUCUUCAUUUGUAAUGAGCUAAAUUUCUGACAGUAGUGAUGGACGAACUAAAUCAACGUUUACGAUUACACUAUCGUGUAUUACCCUGGUUGUGUAAACGUAAUUACUGUUCACCGUAGUAAAAGAUGUAUCUACCCUUGAACAUUUUCAACCUGUCCUAUUCCAACUCAUUUGGAAUUCAUGAGUAUUGUUAUGACGUGACUUACGAAUCCUCAAGAAAUCGUUCGAGUGGUUAUAAUCACUUACUGUAUUUGAAUAGAGAUGAGAAAUAUCACCAUAAGUUCCUAGUACGAGGUAUUUUGUACAUGUGGAUAUUAUGAUAAUGUUUCGAUGAUUAUCUAUCAACUUGACAAGUCAGCUCACCUUCUGUUGGUCGAGAAGAACUACAUUUUAGACCACUUAUCAAAAUUUCUCAUUCUUGAACUUAUUAGACUUUUUGACGUUUUGAUCAGCAUCUAAUCUAACUGUGAUUCCCUAUUCACCAUCUUGGGCUGGAAAGCAUUCCAAUCAACCUUAGGUACGUCUUACCCUACAACACUUUGUAUUAUUUCUUAAGCAAAUAGAUUGUUUAGAUGAACCGCUGACAUUGAAGUUUUAGUUAUGACCAUUAACUCCUCAAUCACCUAACAAAUACUUUACUGAACGAAUCUUUACCAUUAGUGAUUGAAUAUUCUGAAAGCUACCGUUGUAGUGAGAUAUUAUGCAUUCAAUCCAGCCAUCUUGUACUCUAGAUUCGAUGAACUUGUUUUGACCCUCAAAUUCUUGAGUGUUCAUUUAGCCUUUUCGGCGUAAUGUUUCACUAAACCCGAGUGGAAAUUCAUAAUGAAUCUACUUGCUGAGGCAUAUGUGAAUUACAGUGUUUGGUUGCAUAGUGUGCAUGACACUACUGUAUCUUAUUAUGAUGCGCAUUUCGCUUCCAAGUUUUGGGAAGCCUUCUUGAAGGCCAUGCGUAUUAAGUUUUGUCACAUACCACAUUUCACCCUCAGACUAACGGUCAGUCUGAAUGAACUAUUCAGACCUUAGAUAACAUAUUUCUUUUGUAUGUUUUAUAGUUUUAACUGGUUAUGUUAGACACCUAUCUUUGCUUAUGUUGCGUACGACGAUAGUUAUUAUUAUGGUUUGGCUAUAGUAUUGUUUAAGCUGUGAUAUAGAGAUUUUACGCACGGAACAUGUUUGACAGACGAGUAUUGCGAACAAGUAUUCGAAUGAUCAGGAUUAAGAUGUAGCAAACUAUGAGAUAUUGACGAUGUCGCCGAAGAGGGUCAUGCGUGAAUGCAAUCAAGGCGUUAAUCAGAUGAUUUAUGUGUAUUUCCCAAUGAGGGGCAAGAUGGUAAUAUUGCACCCUCAUGAAUUAUUUGCUUGGUUAUUGUGACAACACCGUAAUAUUGAUAACUUAUUUAUUGUUUGGACUUGACCCAAAGAUACUACACUUAUUCUCGGAUUACGUGACGCUACAAGUGCAUAGGUGACAUUUUUCUAUGUUCAGUUUUGAUUUCAGUACAACUAUCUUGAUUCUACGUUAUUGUGUAUAUGUAUUUUAAUUUGACGUUAUGUUUAUAUAUAUAUUACCUUAUGUUUUUAUAAAAUAUAAUAUUAUAGUAUUGUGCUGAAGGAGAAGGAAAGUAUGAGUUUGGAGCCAUAAAAUAGGAAUCAUUGCACACCUAUCGCGACAGAAUGACAUUCUCUUUUAUGCAACCGCUCUAGCUUGAAUUCUUCUUUAUAUAUUUUCCUUCUGUCUUGAGUAUUUUAUGUUUAGCAACUUAUUUCAAAUUUUGGGGACAAAAUUUUUUUUAAGGGGUGUAUAUUGUGACAACUCGUCCCUACUUUUAUGAUUUUAUUAAUUUUAAAAGCGUGAAUUGGCAAAAAUGCUCUAGCUUGAAUUCUUCUUUAUAUAUUUUCCUUAUGUCUUGAGUAUUUUAUUUUUAGCAACUUAUUUCAAAUUUUGGGGACAAAAUUUUUUUUUAAGGUGGGUAGAUUGUGACAACCCGUCCCUACUUUUAUGAUUUAAUUAAUUUUAAAAGCGUAAAUUGACGAAAAUGCCCAAGAGGCGAGAUUAUUGACUUUCGUUGAUCGUUGUUUGUGACACGUAUGAGUUAUUACUUUACCGUACCCUUGAAGUACUCGAUGGUAAAAACGCAUAGGCGCAAGCGGAAUCGAAUUUGGAGCAACGAUGAAAAUUUUAUUGAACAAUGAAUCCGAAAAAUACUUUUGUAAAAAUUACUAUUUUAUAUUUUAUAUAUUUAUUCAAAAUUUUAUAUUAUUAUAUCACUAUUUUAAUAUAUUUCUAUGGGAUAUUUUUUAUUAUUUUAUUAAUAUUUUCGGCCCAUGGGGCCCACACUCACCCAAGCUCUCAUCUCAUUUUCUGCCAUGUGUUUUGUCUCCUCCUUCUGUCCUGUAAGACUCCCCUUUUUCUCUCCCUUGGUGAAACCUAGUGACACUGGAACCACCACCACCACCACCACCUUGCCGUUGCGACUCCGGCGAGUUACUCCACUCGAUGACCCAGGUUGGCACCACCUUCGUCGUUUUCUCCCCCCUCCAUGUCGAACGAGCACCACUCAUUUUCUUCCCCAAGGCCACUGUUCACGUUUUUCUUUUCUGACGACAUUCAUAGCAAGUUCUCGCUGUUCAUGACGAAGGUAAGGUUCGAAAACCCUCAAUAUCUUUGAACACCCUCAAUAUCUUCGUAAAUCCCGUCCCUGAUUUUCACUAUUGCAAAUUACGUAUGUGUAUUAAGGAGUUAUUAUAUUAUUUUUGGAAUUUAUAUUAAUUGUAGAGUGUUGAGAUUGUGUAUUCAAAAGAUAUCAAUGUGAAAAAGCUACAAUUAAAAAGUUGCCCUUAAUUAAUUAAGGAGAGGAAAAAAAAGGGAACUUUAACGAAAAGCUCCCGGUACUGUUCAUUUUAACGAAAAACCACAUUUUUACACUAAAAAGUCAAUCCUGGUACUAUUCACUUUACCCUUUAUUUUGUCCUUAUCGUUAAAACUCAAAGUUUUCAAGCCCUUUUCAUUAGUUUUCCUAAAAAAAAAAGAAAAGGAAUUUGGGGAGAGAAAUGAAGGAGGCUUGGCCAACGGGAAGGCGGGAGAGAAAGAAGGCUGCCAAUGAGAAAAAAGGAAAGGAGGAGGAAAGAGGGGAGGGGAGGGACACCAGAUUCCCUGCCCAAUUGUCUUUUCCGACCUGAACGCGUCAUUGCUACCACUUCCGACGGGUUUUCCGUCCAUUUUUUGGCGAUCCACCAUUUUUGAAAUAAUGUUCUUCAAUUACCACCACAAAGACACUCAUCUAGAGGUCAGGAAAAAAGCCCAAGCAAGAUUGGGGGUGUUGGAGUUCGAAUUGAGGACGAAUCAAAUGACACCCAUUUCAAGGGUUCCGGCGGAUCGAGGCAAAAUUGAAGGGUUCCCCGGCAAAAUUGGACCUCGGCCCAGGUAUGAAAAUUUCUCCCCGCACUGAUAUCUACAUGCCUGUAAAGUUUGGUAAUUUUUGGAAAUAGUUGAAUUUUCGGCAAGUCGGGGCUGCCGACCGCCACCCGCGGCGGCGGCCUGCCCAGUGGGCCGACGAUGUCCUUUUAAGUUCAAAUAGAUGCCUUGAUUUCAUAAUUGAUAUCCGUAUGACGUAAUUUGAUUGUUUGGACUUAGUUUCAUUACGAUACCUCAUGUUGAUGCACAAAACCGGAGGUUUUGGGACAAUAUAAAUCCGAUCGUGAAUCUGCAAGUAAUGUAAGUAACACAAGAUGUAUCGUGGUUCACCCCAAUGUUUGGGCUACGUCCACACUGAUUAUUGAAUUUCUUUAAGAUGCUGAAGAGGGAGAAAGAGAGUUUCUCUGUGAGGAUGAGAGCUCUGAGAGGGUGAAGGUACGGCCUAAGAAAUGGCCUCCCUUCAUGAAGAGAGUGAGGGGUCCUUUUAUAGAAUAAGGGCUCCUCACUUAUUACAUAUUUGCCCUUUAUUUAUUACAUAAUUACAUUUGAGUCCCCCGAGUAUUUAUACGAGAUCUAAAAACGGAGGCCCUAAGUAUGGUAUAAACAGUAAUCCCCCAAGUCUUCAGUCAAGAUAGUCUUUUGGCUGGAGACUUGAAAUUCAGUCCAUGUGUGGACCAAAGUAACUAGACAUCGUCUAGGACUGAUACUCGAUAUGAGGCGGUGCUCAAUCUGAAAUGAUGCUCAACUAGAAGUAGCACAUGUUGCGAGGCUGCUUGGCUUGUGGCUUAUGUUGUCUUGGUUGGCUUGGCUUGUGGCAUUGAAGGUAAGGGAGUCCCUUUUAUAGAAUAAGGGCUCGCUCCUCAAUACAUGAAUGAUAGGCUAGAGUUGAUGCUCGCGGCGAGGGCAUUGCUCAGCUGGCGACGAUGCUCUCUAAUGAUGGUGAGGGAGUCUCUUUUAUAGAAUAAGGGCUCGCUCCUCAAUACAUAAGUGAUGAGUUAGGAGUGAUGUUCCCGGCGAGGCGAUUGCUCAGCUGGCGGCGAUGCUCUCUAAUAAAGGUGAGGGAGUCCCUUUUAUAAAAUAAGGGUUCGCUCCUCAGUACAUGAAUAAUGGGUGCUUUCUAAUGAAAGUGAGGGAGUCCCUUUUAUAGAAUAAGGGCUCGCUCAUCAGUACAUAAAUAAUGGGCUAAGUCCCCCAAGUAUUUUUCAUGAGGCCCAGUUGAGGCCCAAUAAAUGGUACAUAAUGUAGUCCCCCAAGUCUUCGGUCAAUAGAGUCUGUUGGUUGGACACUUCAAAUUGAAUCCAAGUAUGGGCUGAAGUGGCGGUUGUUCGGAGGCGGUAUUUGUAUACCCUGCACUGAAGCUUUGUAGGUGAAGCUUUGCAAGUGAAGCUUUGAAGCUAGAGCUCUGUAAAUGAAGCUUUUAAAGCUAGAGCUCUAUAAAUGAAGCUUUUGAAGCUAGAGCUUUGUAAAUGAAACUUCUGAAGCUAGCGCUUUUGUGAAUGAAGCUUUUGAAGCUAGAGCUCUGUAAAUGAAGCUUUUGAAGCUGAUUGACAUGAGUGAUGGUCAUGAAUGUUUAUGUUGAUUGACAUGAGUGAUGCUCAUGGAUGUUGAUGAAUGAUGGUCAUGAAUGUUUAUGUAUGAUUGACAUGAGUGAUGUUCAUGAAUGUUUAUGUAUGAUUGACAUGAGUGAUGCUUAUGUAUAAUUUUGGAGUACUGGAUGUACUUUUGAUCACCUGAUUGGUGAUAAUAGCGGCAGGCUGCCAAAUAAUUUUGGAGUACUGGGCGUACUUUAGAUCACCUGGUUGAUGAUAAUAGCGACAGGUUGCCGAAUAAUUUUGGGAGUACUGGGCGUACUUUAGAUCACCUGGUUGAUGAUAAUAGCGACAGGUUGCCGAAUAAUUUUGGGAGUACUGGGCGUACUUUUGAUCACUUGGUUGGUGAUAAUAGCGGCAGGUGCCGAAUAAAUUUGGAGCCAUAGGGCCUGGCUCUUUUGGGCAUAUGGGCAUUCGCCCUCCACAUGACAUUGCAGCCCACUAUUUUGGGCUUGCCCUUUUUUUUUAAAAUUUUUUUUAUUAUUACCCUCUGAUGGGGUUUAUAUAGAUGUCUCCGAAAGAUAAGAAAAAUAAAUUAUAUCAUUCAAAAAUAAAUCUCACCCUCUGCUCAAUGGGUUAUGCCCAUAAUUCCCUUUUCUGCAUGCCAUCACCACCGCAAUUAUGUCUGCUUCUUUUUAUCUUCUUUUGCUUUCUGCUUUUUACUUUCUGCUUUUCUUUUGCUUUCGGCCUGGUUGGUGCUAAGACCUUGUAGUGGGAUGGCAAACAGCUUGGCAUCAUUAUGUCUGAAUUCCUUUAUCAUCGUGGUGCCGAACCACUUUCCAGUUGUGUGUUUAAAGGAACCUGUUUUACCUUCACUGCUUUUUGACCAUACUUCCUCCAUCUAUACCCAAUUGAAGUAAUGAUUACUCCCCUGGAGCCGAUACUAGACCGGUUGAGUCAUUCUGGGAGGCAGCGGAAUGUUGACGUCUGCAACGUGCGGACCGAAGCCCAAAUGCGACGUCGUUUGGCCUGCCACCAGAAGAAGAAACAAACCGAGCAAAACAUUGAAACUCACCAGAGAGAUCGCCGGAGUCAGAGCUUAAGAGAGUAAACACCCAUGAUCCAUGUGAAGAGAGUGAGAGAGUGAGAGCAUGAGAGAGUAAACUCAUCCAAAUUAGAGUAAACUCACACAACUCCGGCCACAGAGUCGUACUCUUCCAUACCAACAUUUCCAUUUCCAACACUACCCUCCACGUUCUUCUUCACCCUCCCUGCAAUCACACGGCACACCAACAUUGCCCUCUUGUCACCCUCCUUCGUCGCCACCACCGCUUUAUCAUGAGCUCUGCUGCUUGUCGCAGUUGUCAAAAUACCCAGCUCCGUCAACUCCCCAGAGAACUUGUUGAAGCCGUUUUUUAUAAUGAUGCAAACAUUGCAGUGUGGGAUUAAGUUACUUGGAGAGCUUGGUGGCAAAGGUGGUGUAGUGGAAACGGAUGAGCUCGUUGCCGUCAGCGAUGCAGCGGGGGUGUUUCUUGGAGAGCUUGGUGGCUUUUACUUUGAUGGAGUCUCUAUACUCUUUGAAUUUGGUGAUGGUAUCUUGGGUGUUAUGGACUUUAAGGAUGCGGUCGAUUUUGUAGAUUGGGGUUCUUUUUUCAGCCAGCUGGACUGGAAUAUGAUCUCCACUAUGUUCUUGCUAGUAUCAUCAGGACUCCGAGCUUGUAUGGUGUCUCUACCGUCACAAGGAGAAGAUCAACCUCGCUGGUCACGAAGAGAAGAUCAGCCUCCGCUACUCAAGCUCCGACUCCAGCGAUCUCUCUUGUGAGUUUCACUGUUUUGCUCGGUUUGUUUCUUCUUCUGGUGGCGGGCCAAACGACGUCGCAUUUGGGCUUCGGUCCGUAAAUUGUAGACAUUAACAUUCUGCUGCCUCCCAGAAUGACUCAUCUGGUCUAGUAUCGGCUCCAGGGAGUAAUGAUUGCUUCAAAUGGGUAUAGAUAGAGGAAGUAUGGUAAAAAAGCAGUGAAGGUAAAACAGGUUGCUUUAAACACACAGCUGGAAAGUGGUCCGGCACCACGAUGAUAAAGGAAUUCAGACAUAAUGAUGCUAAGCUGUUUGCCAUCCCACUACAAGGUCCCAGCACCUACCAGACUGAAAGCAAAAGAAAAGCAGAAAGCAAAAGAACAUAAAAAGAAGCAGACAUAAUUGCGGUGGUGAUGGCAUGCAAAAAAGGGAAUUAUAGGCAUAACCCAUUGAGCAGAGGGUCGGAUUUAUUUUUGAAUGAUGUAAUUUAUUUUUCUUAUCUUUCGGAGACAUCUGUAUAAACCCCUUCAGAGAGUAAUAAUAAAAAAUUAAAAAAAAAACGGCAAGCCUAAAAUAGUGGGCUGCAAUGUCAUGUGGAGGGUGAAGACCCAUAUGCCCAAAAGAGCCAGGCCCUAUGGCUCCAAAUUUAUUCGGCACCCUGCCGCUAUUAUCACCAACCAAGUGAGCAAAAGUACGCCCAGUACUCCCAAAAUUAUUCGGCAACCUGCCGUUAUUAUCACUAACCAGGUGAUCAAAAGUACAUCCAAUACUCCAAAAUUAUUUGGCAGCUUACCGUUAUUAUCACUAACCAGGUGAUCAAAAGUACGUCCAGUACUCCAACAUUAUACAUGAGCAUCACUCAUGUCAAUCAUACAUAAACAUUCAUGACCAUCAUUCAUCAACAUCCAUGAGCAUCACUCAUGUCAAUCAACAUAAACAUUCAUGAGCAUCACUUAUGUCAAUCAGCUUCAAAAGCUUCCUUUACAGAGCUCUAUCUUCAAAAGCUUCAUUUACAGAGUUUUAGCUUCAAAAGCUUCAUUUACAGAGCUCUAGCUUCAAAGCUUCACUUGCAAAGCUUUCACCUACAAAGCUUCAGUGCAGGGUAUACAAAUACCGCAUCCGAACAAUCGCCACUUCGGCAUAUACAUGGAUUCUAUUUGAAGUCUCUAGCCAACAGACUUUAUUGACCGAAGACUUGGGGGACUACAUUAUGUACCAUAUAUUGGGCCUCAACUGGGCCUCAUGAAAAAUACUUGGGGGACUUAGCCCAUUAUUUAUGUACUGAGGAACGAGCCCUUAUUCUAUAAAAAGGACUCCCUCAAUUUCAUUAGAGAGCACCUAUUAUUCAUGUACUGAGGAGUGAGCCUUUAUUUUAUAAAAGAGACUCCUUCACCUUCAUUAGAGAGCAUCACCACCAGCUAAGCAACCGCCUCGCCGCGAGCAUCACUCCUAACUCAUCACUUAUGUAUUGAGGAGCGAACCCUUAUUCUAUAAAAUGGACUCCCUCACCAUCAUUAGAGAGCAUCGUCGCCAGCUGAGCAACUGCCUCGCCGCGAGCAUCAACUCUAGCCCAUCAUUUAUGUUUUGAGGAGCAAGCCCUUAUUCUAUAAAAGGGACUCCCUCACCUUCAACGCCAUAAGCCGAGCCAACCAAGGCAACAUAAGCCACAAGCCGAGCAGCCUCGCAACAUGUGCUACUUCUAGUUGAGCAUCAUUUCAGAUUAAGCACCGCCUCAUAUCGAGUAUCAGUCCUAGAUGACGUCCAGUUACUUCGCCCACACAUGGACUGAGUUUUAAGUCUCCAGCCAAAAGACUCUAUUGACUGAAUACUUGGGGGACUACUGUUUAUACCAUACUUAGGGCCUCCGUAUUUAGAUCUCGUAUAAAUACUAGGGGGACUCAAAUGUAAUUAUGUAAUAAAUGAAGGGGCAAAUAUGUAAUAAGUGAGGAGCCCUUAUUCUAUAAAAGGACCCCUCACUCUCCUCAUGAAGGGAGGCCAAAUCUUAGGCCAUACCCUCACCAUCUCAGAGCUCUCAUCCUCACAAAAAAGCUCUCUCUCUCCCUCUUCAACAUCUCGGAGAAAUACAAUAAUCAGUGUGGACGUAGCCCAAACAUUGUGGUGAACCAUGAUACAUCUUGUGUUAUUUACAUUUCUUGCAGAUUCAUGGUCGAAUUUACGUUGUCCCAAGACCUUCGGUUUUGUGCAUCAACAUAUUUGAUGGAUGAAAUAGAAACCUUGAUUAUCAUGUGGGUUGUUAUGUAGCUUGAAUUGAAUAAUUCAUGCUUGUCAAGUCCAACUGUUUGAUUGAGGAAUGUUAUGCCUUUUGGCUUGAGUGAAUAGUGUUAUAUGUCGAGUUAUAAAGACGUUGAACUACGAAUGGCUUGAUCCCUAUUGAGGGUACAUAGGCAAUCUAACGAAGAGGUUAGAUGCAGCCAUAAUGUAUACGCAAAAUUAUUAUGCAUCUAGAUCUUGAAUUAUAUUUUGUACAUAUCCAAAAAGGCGGGAUACGUUGAGUUACGAGCAUUUAGUGACGUCACGUGUCGAUCUGAGAUGUAUGUCGGGAUUGGGGCGUGACAAUUUAUCCCAGCCAUCUUUUUCCAGAUUCUGACGGUUGUAGCGGCAACCAGCUGAGAAGAAGAAAAAAAAGAAAAAAAAGGAAAAAAAAAAAAAGGAAGCCUAGAUCCGCGACCCGGAUCUAGCCCAACCUGAUUCUAAAAUGCAUAUGGAAUAUUCUUAGUGUUGACCUUUAAGAAAUUUUCUCGGAAAUCCUCCUAGGCUAAUUUCGACGUCUAGAGUCCAUUUUUGACUUCCAUUUAGGAAAAUUUUGAAGUUUUAACAUAGUUGACCACCGGGCCGUCUUUGUUGACUUUUUAAGUUUGAUCGUUCACUUUUCGUUGACUUUUUACAAAAUUUGCCUGGGACCCCUCUUAGCGUAUUUCGACGCUCUGAUUACUAUCGGAGACUCAGACUUUCUUAGCUUGAAAUGAUGUGACAUCGCAAGUACCUAUGAGUGGGUCUUUUCUUUUAUAUAGUACAUAUAUAUAUAUAUUUGUUAGUUUCCAUUUAUAUAUUUGGUAAAGAAUUUUCUACGUUACGCCUAGAUUAGGGUAACGUAUAUAAAAAUUAACGUAUUGAAGGAAUUCAUGCAAAUAUACUACGUCCUACGAGAUACACAUGUAUGCGUAUUAGUAUGGAUGCUUUAAUGGUAUUUACGGUUUUGAAUAGUAUUCCAUUGACUAGGGUUAUUGAAUUAUCGAUUUACCAUUGCAUGAUCAUAUUUGUGUUAUCUGCUCAUCGUGUGUUGCACUGGUGUUAGUACUUGCCUAGGCUAGGGCCAGUCUUUCACAUGUAUGUUCAAUUCGCACUGUACGCUCACUUUGGAUCCAUUGUAGGUGCCAGUCCUGUCCUCGAUUGCAAUAGGCAAUUAGGACUCGUAUGUGACGUGCUUAGCACCCGUUUUCAUGUGAUUGUAGUACUAGAGCGUAAAUCAUUAUUACACCCAGUCCUAUUCAUGUCAGAAUACCUUUGCAUGAACUCGUGUGUCAACAUAUGUCGAUGAGCACUCGAUGUGAUAUGUUUAUUUCUGCAAGAUAUUGUGAUUACUAGAAGUUAUGUACCUAUUUACGAAUUUUGUGACGUAUUGAAUUCUUGAGAUAUUGCAAACUACUGUAAGUAUUUUCAUACUAUACGUAGUAUGUAUAUUUUGGAAACUAUACUUGCUUUACGGUGAGGGGUUAUAAUGUUUUCAAAAAGCUUUUUAUAAAACUUUAUUUUUAAGCCCACUCAUCCUUGUUUUUCGUCCCUCCAGGAUUUAGUGGCAAUGUUCGUGUCGACGAGGAUUUCUGGCAAACGUUGAUAUCGGAGACUACUUCCGAUGGUAUAAUUCUCAAUCUACUAUACUGUACUUUACUUAUGCUCUUAUAUCACGUGUGAAAUGAGUUCAUUCACGCUCACUAGCGCACUCUUAUACUUAGGCACUUCUAGAUUUAAAUUUACUCACAUUUUUCACAUCACUACUCAUUAAUGAAAUCUUUAUUUUCCUAAAAGAUUAUUGCCUCAUAUGAGAAAGUCCCUAUAAUAUAAACCCUAAAUUUGAAGUUUACAUAAUUUUAUGUGAUAAUUUCAUUGGAAGCUAAUUCUUUUAGUUAAUUUAACUUGAUUUUAUUGUAAAAUAUUUUUUGUGUAAUAUUAUUACCCAAAAAGGUUCAAAAUUCUCAAAGCCAAAUUUUAUUCCAAUGGAGUUUUAAUGAAAAGUCCGCGGUACUGUUCACUUUAACGAAAAACCACAUUUUUACACUAAAAAUUCAAACUUAGUACUAUUCAUUUUACCUUUUAUUUUGUCCUUAUCAUUAAAACUCAAAGUUUUCGAGCCAUUUUCAUUAGUUUUCCUUUUAUUUGGGAGUUUUAACGAAAAGUCCGCGGACCCGGCUUUGCAACCCGGACCCAGCUUCUCUGCUCUCCCAGUUUCCAUACACUCUCAUCCCCUCCUAUUUUGUGCGAUCACGAUUAAGCACGUUAACAUUUUAUAUUGAUUUUUUUAUAGACAUAAUAAGACAAAAAACGAUAGUGAUAUAAAAUAUUGACGUGACUUAACAUUUGACAAAAAUUGAAGAUAAUUUUGUUUUUUUGACUAAAUGAUCAAAAUAAUUGGUGGCGAAUAAAAUCAGAAAUCUCACUUUGAAGAAACGAAACUUCCGACGUGGUGGGCUGCGACUUUUGACUGAUUGAGAGUCCUCCAUCCGCAGCUCCUCCGUCUUCCUCCCAAGCCUUUUACCUUUUCUUUCUUUCUUCUCCAAAACUAGCAAUCUGAGAUUUGAACCUCUCUCUCUAAGAAGCAGCGGCAUGCUUUUCCAAACGUAAUCUGCAAUUUAAUCAAACAGCCACCGAAUUUUCUGGAAUCCUGUCAACGCAGAGAUGCUUCGGAUUUUGAUCGGUCAACGCCAGCUGCUUACCUGAGCUCCAAAAGAUCCAACAGUGAUGACGUCCUCCACCUCUGUUUCUGUUUGGCUGAUUCUGCUGUUUGGCUUCUUUCACCUCUACAAGCUUGCUGCCAAUGUCGUCUCUGUGUGUUAUUGAAUUUGGGAGUGUUUGGUUGUGGGAACCGGAAUGAACUAAUGAAUGAAUGAAUGAAUGACUGAAUGACUGGAAACAUUCCCGAAGAGCUUGGGGGUUUGUCAGACUUGGUGAGCUCGGAUCUUUACUUGGCAACCUUGCAAAACUGCGUUUCCUAUAUGAACCCGCAUCCUUUUGUUAGAUAAAAUCUAUCGUCUUUCUUUUUUAUUCGAUAUGCUAAUCUGCUGUUUUUAAUUGUUCCAUUGGAGUGACUUUCUUCCUUAAAGUCCUUGUGCCGGAUGCAUAUAAUUUAUAGUAUGAUCCCUGGUUUCAAGAUUCACAAGAAGGGAACAUCCAGUCAUUGCAAGUCCUGUGAAUUUCAUACACUUUCAUCUCAGUAAGAGGGAGGAGAGAGUGAAAAGUUACUAAUUUCUCUACCAUCGGAGAAUGCAAAUAACAUAUAGUUUUGCCAUGGAAUGCAGGGAUCUUUCAAAUAACAAUCUGACAGGGAAUAUUCCAGUUAAUGGAUUCUUUUCACUUUUUACUCCCAUCAGGUUUGUUGAAGCAACUUUACUCUUUUUCUUUAACUUUAGGGACAAAAAUAACAAUCUGACAGGGGAUACACUUUCAUCUCAGUAAGAGGGAGGAGAGGGUAAUAUAGCUUGAUCAAGUUGGUGUUGUAGUUGUUGUAUGGGAUGCAGCUCAAAAACUUUUCUUUGCGCGACCUACAAGUUGCAACGGAUACCUAUAGCGACAAAAAUAUUAUUGGUAGAGGUGGAUUUGGUAAGGUUUAUAGAGGACGCUUAGCUGAUGGAACUCUGGUUGCUGUAAAAAGACUUACACAGGAGAGAACCCAAGACGGGGAACUACAGUUCCAAACAGAAGUUGAAAUGAUUAGAAUGGCUGUCCACCACCGCAAUCUGCUUUGUCUGCAUGGUUUUUGCAUGACACCAACAGAAAGGCUGCUUGUAUAUCCUUAUAUGGCUAAUGGAAGUGUGGCAUCUUGUUUAAGAGGUACUCAUCUAAAUUGUUUGCUGCGUUGAUGAAUCUUUUUGUUUUCACGACGUUAAAUUUUUUUUCGAUCACAUUGAUAUAAUGAAUUUAAAAACCUGACCAAUUUGGCUUGGAGUAUCAGCACUAAUUUUUUUAAUGUUUUUUUUCCUUCAAUUUUAAGUUACCUUCUCGAUGCUGAUUUUAUUUCUGUUUAAUUUGAAAAGGAUGACAAGAAGACCCUUUUUUUGGGUAGGACGGGUGGUAUGAUAUGUGUUAGACCACAUUACCUAUUGCUUGUAAUUUGAAAUUCUCCUCUCAUAAGUAUGUGGAUAUAUUAUUGUAGGUCGUCCGGAAGGACAACCUGCACUUGAUUGGCCAAUAAGACAACGCAUUGCAUUGGGAUCUGCAAGAGGCCUUGCUUAUUUACAUGAUCACUGUGAUCCAAAAAUUAUUCACCGUGAUGUGAAAGCAGCAAACAUAUUGUUGGAUGAGGAAUUCGAAGCAGUUGUUGGAGACUUUGGGUUGGCUAAACUCAUGGACUACAAGGAUACAUAUGUUACCACACAUGUAUGUAGCACAUUUGGUCAUAUGGCACCGGAGCACUUUUCAACUGGAGUGUCUUCCGAGAAAACUGAUGUUUUUGGAUACGGAGUCAUGCUUCUUGAACUCAUCACUGGGCAGAGGGCUUUCAAUCCUCAGCUUGCGAGUGAUGAUGAUGUCAUGUUAGUUGAUUGGGUAUGCAUUUACGUCUUUCUGUUUGUGUAUGUAGCUAGUUUAUUGUUAUAUGAUUAUUUCCCAACAACAUUUGCAUUUCCUUAGUAAUUAGCUUUUAGAAAAUAAGUUUGGUUUAAUUAGCUUUUAUUAGUUAGAGUUAUGAUUAGCUGUGUAGAUUUUUUUAUCUUUAUUUAUAACAAUCCAAGGUUUAAACUGUCAGAGAUUAAUUAUUGCAUUUCCUUAGUAAUUGUUACUAUUGUUGUUGCUUCUUUUGCCAAUGUAUUGGCAUUUUGUGAUUUCUUGAAGAAUUUGGCAUAUGUUUUGUGUCGAUCCUAAUUUCCUCAUCAUCUCCUUAUUCUUGCUAUCUUGGCCUCUCGCUUUUUCCUAUUCUCUCUAUUGCAUCUUUGUCUUCUCUUUGCAUGAUAUCAAUAUUUGAAUGACGAUACAUUUUUGUAAGCAGUUUGAUUUUCUGUAGAAAAAAGUUUGAACAUUACAACACAUUUUUGUUCUCCUAGAUUCCCGCACCUUUUGUUUCAAAUUGUCGAACCACCCGACAAUUUCUGUUUUAUUUUUCCUAAAAAAAUUAGGUCAAAUGACUACUGAAAGAUCGGAGGUUGGAAAGACUUGUUGAUGCUGAUCUAAAUGGAAAUUAUAUUGACGAUCAAGUGGAGCAGCUGAUCCAAGUAGCUCUACUGUGCACACAAGGCUCCCCAGGGGAACGGCCCAAGAUGUCAGAGGUUGUCCAAAUGCUUGAAGGCGAAGGCGAAGGUUUGGCUGAAAGAUGGGAGGAGUGGCAAAACAAGGAGAUGAUCCGCCAAGAUUUCAACACUAUUCAUCAUCCAAGUACUUGGAUCAUAGACUCACCUUCUCCUAAUUUUGUGUUGUACUAUUUCUGUGAGUUUGAAGAAAUGGAUAAAAAGAAAGGAAAACCAAUGAAAAAGGCUUGAAAACUUUGAGUUUUAAUGAUAAGGACAAAAUAAAGGGUAAAGUGAAUAGUACCAGGAUUGACUUUUUAGUGUAAAAAUGUGGUUUUUCAUUAAAGUGAACAGUACCGGAUGCUUUUCGUUAAAGUUCCCUAAAAAGAAUGACAUGUGAUAGAGAGUUCAUCAUAUAGCUUCUGACUUUAAGGAUUUUUCAUUUAGUUCUAGUUCAUGUUGCGCAAAAAAUAUUAGGUAACACUGCUACUGGGGCUAUUGCAGGAGGGGUUGCUGUUGGUGCUGCUUUACCGUUUGCUGCACCUGCAAUUACACUUGCUUAUUGGCGACGGAGAAAACCACAGGAUCAUUUCUUUGAUGUACCUGGUUAGUGAACUAUAGGAGUAAUAUAGCUUGAUAAAGGUGGUGUUGUAGUAUGGGAUGGAGGUUUCACUAAUCUACUGUCUUUGCAGCUGAGGAGGAUCCAGAAGUUCUUUUAGGACAGCUCAAAAGGUUUUCUUUGCGCGAACUACAAGUUGCAACGGAUACCUUUAGUAACAAAAAUAUUCUUGGUAGAGGUGGAUUUGGUAAGGUUUAUAAAGGACGCUUAGCUGAUGGAACUCUGGUUGCUGUAAAAAGACUUAAAGAGGAGAGAACCCAACGUGGGGAGCUACAGUUUCAAACAGAGGUUGAAAUGAUUAGCAUGGCUGUCCACCGCAAUCUGCUUCGUCUGCGUGGUUUUUGCAUUACACGAACAGAAAGGCUGCUUGUAUAUCCUUAUAUGGCUAAUGGAAGUUUGGCAUCAUGUUUACGAGGUACUCUUCUAAAUUGUUUGCUGCGUUGAUAAAUCUUCUUGUUUUCACGAAAUUAAAAAAUGGGUAAAUUACAUUUUACACCCUCAGGUUUGAGUGUAAUUGUAACCUCAUACAAUAUUUUUAAAACAUUUCAAUUUUAUACAUUUCCUUAUCAUUUCUAGCAAUUUCAUACAUCUGUUAGUCAAACCGUGAGUUUGACUGUUAAGGAAUGACAUGGCAAAUGUGAGGUCCACAUUUUUAUUGACGGGGAUGCCAACUAUGAUUCACGUGGAAUAAAAACAAAUAAAAAAGAUUAAUAAAUAGAAAAUUAAAUUUUUUUAUAAUUAAAAACUAAAAAAAUAGAAAAGAUAAAAAAAAUGGUGUUGUUCAUCCCUUUCCUGCUCUCACCCCGUCCCCGCAUUCUUCAUUUCCCCCCGCCCACCAUCGCCACCUUCCCUUUCCUCAGCCACUGCAAUGAAUAGACCACAUUACCUGUUGCUUGUAAUUUGAAAUUCUCCUCUCAUAAGUAUGUGGAUAUAUUAUUGUAGAUCGUCCAGAAGGACAACCUGCACUUGAUUGGCGAAUAAGACAACGCAUUGCAUUGGAAUCUGCAAGAGGCCUUGCUUAUUUACAUGAUCACUGUGAUCCAAAAAUUAUUCACCGUGAUGUGAAAGCAGCAAACAUAUUGUUGGAUGAGGAAUUCAAAGCAGUUGUUGGAGACUUUGGGUUGGCUAUACUCAUGGACUACAGGGAUACACAUGUUACCACAGCUGUACGUGGCACAAUUGGUCAUAUAGCACCAGAGUACCUUUCAACUGGAAAAUGUUCCGAGAAAACUGAUGCUUUUGCAUACGGAGUCAUGCUUCUUGAACUCAUCACUGGGCAGAGGGCUUUUGAUCUUGCUCGGCUUGCGAAUGAUUAUGAUGUCAUGUUACUUGAUUGGGUAUGCUUUUACGUCUUUCUGUUUCUGUUUGUUGCUAAUUUAUUGUUAUAUGCAAGAUUAUUUUCCAACAAUAUUUGAAUGAGGUCCACCUUUGAGAGUUUUAACGAAAAGUCCACGGUACUGUUCACUUUAACGAAAAAUCAUAUUUUUACAUUAAAAAGUUAAUCCUGAUACUAUUCACUUUACUCUUUAUUUUGUCUUUAUCGUUAAAACUCAAAGUUUUGAAGCCUUUUUCAUUAGUUUUCCUUAAUAUCUUUCAUAUUUUAUAAAAUAAAAAAAAAGACAUAAUGUUGUUGAAAUUCAACGAUAUUCUUGCUUCGAUCUAUUGUUUCCCUAAGUCCAAAUCUUGGAAAUUAUGUUUCAAUACUCAUUUUAAAGAAAUGUUAUAUAAUAUACUGUAAAUUAGGUGUAUCUCUCGAUACCAAUGUUGCUAUUUAUUUAAGCCAAAAAUAAUGGGUCUCGACACCUAAUCACUUUAUUUCAAACCGCUAAUCUCAUAUGACAUUCUUAAUCAUUGUAUAUGGAACAUUUCUGCAAUCAUUUUAGUUGGUUCUUUGCAAUACUUUAAAAACCUAUUACUCAUCAUAGAGCUGCCAAGUUCCUGUCUAAUUAAUGUAAAAAUCACUUAGUCUUUUUUGGCCCGAAUAUUGAAAACAAUUAGAAUCAUGGAUCAAAGAAAAGAAAUAAUACUUAACUUUUAGAAAAUAACUUUAGUUUAAUUAGCUUUUAUUAGUUAGACUUACGAUUAAGCUGUGAAGAUUUAUUUAUCUUUAUUUACAACAAUCUAAGAUUUAAAUUGUCAGAGAUUAAUUAUUACAUUUCCUUGGUAAUUGUUGUUAGUAUUGUUGUUGCUUCUUUUGCCAAUGUAUUGGCCUUGCUGUGAUUUCUUGAAGAAUUUGGCAUGUGUUUUGUAUCGAUCCUAAUUUCCUCAUUAUCUCUUUAUUCUCGCUAUCUUGGCUCUUUCUUCUUUUUAUUCUCUGUUUGCAUCUUUGUCAUAUGUUCGCAUCACAUCAAUAUUUGAAUGACGAUGCAUUUUUGUAAGCAAUUUGAUUUUCUGGAGAUACUGCGGCCCUUCAAAUUUUGAACAUUACAACACAUUUUCACUCUCCUAGGUGCCCUCACCUUUUGUUUCAAAUUGUAGAACUAUCUGAUUUUGUUCCUUUUUAUUUUAACUAAAAUAAUUAGGUCAAAGGACUACUGAAAGAUCGGAGGUUGGAAACACUUGUUGAUGCUGAUCUAAAUGGAAAUUAUGUUUACGAUCAAGUGGAGCAGCUCAUCCAAGUAGCUCUACUAUGCACACAAGGCACCCCAGGGGAACGACCCAAGAUGUUAGAGGUUGUCUGGAUGAUGGAAGGGCGAUGGUUUGGCUGGGAGGAGUGGCAAAAAGAGGAGGUGUUCCACCAAGAUUUCAACCCUAUUCAUCAUCCAAGUACUAAUUGGAUCACAGACUCAACUUCUCAUAUUCCUCUGGAUGAGUUGUCUGGUCCCAGAUGAUAUGCUCGUUGGUUCUGUCCCCUGUAUACAUGUAAGAAGCCUCAGAGGACUGUAGAAGGUCCAUUUUGUAUUUCAGUGAUACAACAUUUGUGCAUAUGUUUUGUCUUUGUUUUCGAUUUUGUUUUUGUCUCUCGUAUUUUUUAGAUCACAAAAAUGGAGCUGGUGCUGUUGUAAUUUUUAUAGGGUUAACUGGCAUUACGAAGUUAUAUGGUGCUAGCAGGAAUUAGGAAGGGCCAUAAAAGCACCCAUUCCUGAUGAUUUAUGUAUCUAUCCAGAAAUUAGUUCAGAUUGUCGAGUAAAUAAUCAUUCUGAAGUUAUAACUAUAUAUAUUUUUUAGUGUUCCAAUAGAUCCUAUAGAUACGAUAAGGACACUAGGUCAAGUGCGUUCCUAUAGAUCCUUUAGAUACGAUAAGGACACUAGGUCAAGUGCACGGCUGCUUGUGGACGGAUAGUGUUUGAAAUUUCAUCGUGAUCAUUGCAAGUGUGACUUUGUGGCACUACCCUUAUAAGUACUUGAACUAAGGCAUUAGGGAUCAAGAGAUCACUUUGUGUCAUUCCAAAACAGGAAUUUGAGCUCUGUCUAUCCUCUUUAAAGUAUCGUCAAUGGGGAUCCCUCUACUAUCUUUGAGGAUUUAUUUAAGACCAACUGUAGGGUAAGACCCAAACCUAAAUUUCUAAGUUUAAACAAAAUAAAAAUGCAAUCUAAUUGUGGGAUUUUUUUGUUUUUUUUGAACAAAAUAUAUUAUCUAGAUUAGGUUAAGCUUUACAGUGGGCUAGUAAUAAUAUGGUUCAAAUUUGUCUUUGGCGAAAAUCGAACCUAAAGACCUCUAUUAUAUGUGAAGAGAAAUAUCAGUAAACUGUAGUACUAGAUAGUAUCUAAUGGUUGGACUUAAAGCUAAAAAGUUUGGCUUUUACCCAAGCUAAACCCAAAUUUGGGUUUUGUAUUUGGCAGACCCAAAUUUUUGGGGGCCCUACCUUUUUUUUUCUGAAAAGCAACGGGCGAAUGAUGUAUUGAAGUGGCCGACAGAUGGGUCCCUCACCUAGCAGAGUCCCAGCUGCAAAACAGUAACAGUUUAAGCAACUACGAGCCAUUCGAUUUGUGGGCCAUUGGUGAUCAACGGUCUAGGUUAAAAUCCUUUCAUGCUUUGCAAUCUUUAAAUUUUGAUCUAAUUGUUCAUAUAUAUAUUUUUUCAAAUCUAACGGUAAAAUAAAUCCAACUACUGAAAUUUAAAUUCAACGUCAAAAAUUAUUUUAUUUAGAACAUAUCCAUUAUACAUUUGGAUGGUUGGUGUGGUUUGUUCGGUUUUGAAUUUUUUGUUGAAAUUUAAUUUUUUUAAUGUCAAAACACUUGUCAAAUUAAAUUAAAAUAAUAUAAUUCAAAAGUAAAAAAUUUAAAAAAAAAUCCUACCGAAAAAAAAUUAGGGUUAAAACUAUAUUCCACCACAAUUAGUACAUUUUAGGCCAUGAAAUUUAGAUCUUGAUGGUUGGGUGAUAUUCACUUCAUAGACUUAAAUUCUGUCUUUUGAUGGACUAAAUAUUUGGGUUUGGGUGUAAAGGUUGGAGCUGGUCUAAGGACUUUAAUGAAAUCUUAUAUUUCUAAACGAGUUGCCUCAUAUGAGAAAGUCCUUAUAGUAUAAAUCUUAAAUUUGAAGUUUACAUAAUUUUAUGUGAUACUUUCAUUGGAAGCUAAUUCUUUUAGUUAAUUUAACUUGAUUUUAUUGUAAAAUAUUUUUUUGUGAACAUUAUUACCCAAAAAAGUUCAAAAUUCUCGAAGCCAAAUUUUAUUCUUUAGAACUACAAUAGCUUUCAUUAUUGGCUAUGUCAUGGUCUAUUAUUUCUGAUCAGAAUCAGACCUGGACUCUUUGCAACGCUUGGUCAACUAAAUGAAUUAUUAAUUAAAAGUAGCUUGAUAAUCAUUUUGUUUUCAAUUUUUAAUUUUUAGCUUAUACUUUUCUAUUAUGAAAUUAAUCAAAAUGGUUCAUGAAAUUGGCAUAAUUAAUCAUUUCGGUUCCUGAGAUUUGAAAUUGCUAGAAGUGAUCCCUGAGUUUGUUAACUAUCAAUUAUUUUGAUCAUUCGAUUAAAAAUCUCUAUUGAAUAAGAAGCAUGUUUAUACCAUAUUUAGGGCCUCGUAUUUAGACCUCGUAUAAAUACUCGGGGGACUUAAAUGUAAUUAUGUGAUAAAGGAAGGGGCAAAUAUGUAAUAAGUGAGGAGUCCUUAUUCUAUAAAAGGACCCCUCACCCUCACAAUUAGAAAAAGGCCUCACUCUCACUCUCGAAAAAGCCAAAUUCUUAGGCCCUCUCACCCUCUCUCAACGCUCUCACUCUCAGAGCUCUCUCUCCUUCAAAUAAAUACAAUCAGUGUGGACGUAGCACAAACCUUGGGGUGAACCACGAUACAUCUUGUGUUAUUUACAUUUCAUGCAGAUUCACGGUCGGAUUUACGUUGUUCCAAGACCUCCGGUUUUGUGCAUCAACAUUUGGCGCCGUCUGUGGGAAACGACACGAAAAGUUAUGUCGGUUCUCUCUCAAUUUUUCAUCUCCGCCGUGAAUCUGCAGAAAUCCAAGAACCCAAAAACCUCACUUUUUGGGUUUCUCCAGAAAACUUUCGCAGACCUCCAACCACCUCUGCCUCCUCUCUCAGUCAGUCAACACGGAAACCAAAGAUUUCAGCUGCAAAUUCACCUGCUUUUGCAGCCCAUCCACGCCACCAUGUCCUCAUAUUUCCACCGAGUUCCAAAGUGCUCACCAGAAAAAAUGAUGGCUUCCAUGUCUUUCUCUACAACUUUUUCAACACCUUUACAGAUUUUUCUCAAGCAAAAACAAAAAUAAGCACGAAUUCUUUAGCUUUAUGCCCUCCCAUGGCGUGUUGGAUCAAAUCCUCACUUGGGUCUCCUAAUCGGCAUUUUUUCGAAAUGGGUGGUCUUUCCAAUCGGAGAAUUUUAAUGGGUUUCUGAUCAAAUCUUGGUCUUUGGUUGUCUAUGCUAAAGCAGCUACAACAACAUCUCUAUAUAUCUCUCAUGUCCCUCAUCUCUAUCUUGUCCCUCAUCGCUCAGCCUGACACAUCAAUCAACACACCCAACUGAAAGAGGGAUAGUUUCGUGAUUACCCUGAUUCCGCCAUGGGCAUUCCCUGCGACGACAUCGUCGUUAUCAAGCCGAGGAAGGCUCCUGAUGAGCCAUCCGUCCUCACCGUCAACUGUCCCAACAAGGCCGGCCUUAGCUGCGAUUAGGAGAGGUUAAAGGAUCAGCUCUCGUCCGCGUGCCCGUCGUCGUGCUUCUUCUCAUUUUAUCUCAAUCAAAUCUCCAACGUCCCAACGCCUUCUUCGGUCUAUCUGUUGAAGUUUUGGUGCCACGACCAGAGAGGCUCACUCCACGAUGUUUGAGCCAUUGUGCGAUUUGGGCAAGAAUUUAUGGGAUCUCGCGGUGGCCCAGAUGGUUUAUGAUGAUGUUGUUGGGGUUGGAGUGGUCGAGGAGAUCAAAAAUCAAUGGCUUUUCUCAGUUUUCAGCAUCUGUCAAUUUGGCGGAGGAACGAAAGAUGCCAAAAUUAACUGCUGAGAGUACCUGGGAUUUUGAGAUGUGAUUCAUUAUUGUAUCUGAUAAACAACUUAGAAUUGUCUCUGCCACGUGUUCCACACCGAGUGCAUUGACAGGGGGCUGGAGUAUAAUGAUCAUCAUCAUCACCAUCACGACGAGGACAAUCACAAAACUUGCCCGCUCUGCAGGACUCCAUUAUUGAUGUCAUUGUAGAAGCGGAGCCUGAGUUGGGACCUUGCAGGCUUAAAAGGGACGGUCAAAUAAGAGGCUUAUUUCACUGAACAAAGUUAAACAGCAUGAAAAAGGAGAUUCAAUGUGCGGAGAUCCAGUAUGGAACUGGUGCAAUUUCAGGUUUCUUCCACCAGGACCAUGUCCAAGUCGGUGAUCUUGUUGUUAAGGAUCAGGACUUUAUUGAGGCAACCAAAGAGCCUGGAGUCACGUUUGUGGCAGCUAAGUUUGAUGGUAUUCUUGGACUUGGAUUUCAACAUAUCUCAGUUGGAGAUGCUGUUCCUGUCUGGUAUAAUUUGGUCAAUCAAGGUCUUGUUAAAUAACCAGUUUUCUCAUUUUGGUUAAAUCGCAAUACAGAAGGGGAAGAAUGGGGUGAGAUUGUCUUUGGUGGGGUUGAUUCUAGUCAUUUCAAGGGUGAGCAUACAUAUGUUCCCGUGACUCAGAAAGGCUACUGGCAGUUUGAUAUGGGUGAUGUCUUAAUUGAUGGUGAAUCAUCUGGAUUUUGUGCUAAUGGCUAUUCAGCAAUUGCUGACUCAUGCACCUCCCUAUUGGCUGGACCAACGGAAGUAUGGAGAGGUGGUGGAGGCUGUGAUCAUGAGGGAUCGUGCAAAAGGGGAGAUAAGAUUAAUGUACUUAUCAUUCCUUGUCUGCCAUCUACAAAAGAGAAAAGAAGACAGAAACAAAAGCAAAAGUAAAGCAGAAAAGGAAAAGAGAAAAGAAGAAGAGAGGAACAUGGAGACAUUUCAAAAGCAAGGAAUAAACACCCCACCAGAAUGAUGUAUUUUUUUUAUCUUUCGGAAAUAUCUGUAUAAACCCCAUCAGAGGGUAACUAAAAAAAAAUAGCAAAGCCCAAAACAAAUGGGCUGCCAUGUUGUGGAGGGCGAAGGCUCAUAAGCCCGAAAUAGCACCAACCAGGUGAUCAAAAGUACGCCUAGUACUCCACAAUUAUUCGGCAACCCACCGCUAUUACCACCAACCAGGUGAUCAAAAGUACGCCCAGUACUCCAAAAUUAUUCGGCAACCUGCCGCUAUUACCACCAACCAGGUGAUCAAAAGUAUGCCCAGUACUCUAAAAUUAUUCGGUAACCCGCCGCUAUUACCACCAACCAGGUGAUGAAGUGUACAACCCGUACUCUAAAUAUCAUUUGGCAACUAGCCAUUCAUGCCACCAACCAGGUGAUGAAAUGUAAACCCGUACUCUAAUAUCAUUUGGCAACUAGCCAUUCAUGCCACCAACCAGGUGAUGAAAUGUACAACCCGUACUCUCCUUCAUGCCACCAACUAGGUAAACAAAAGUACGCCCAAUACUUCAAAUUAUACAUGAGCAUUACUCAUGUCAAUCAUACAUAAACAUUCAUGAGCAUCACUCAUAUCAAUCAUACAUAAACAUUCAUGAGCAUCACUCAUGUCAACAUUCAUAAGCAUCACUCAUGUCAACAUCCAUGAGCAUCACUCAUGUCAAUCAAACAUUCAUGAGCAUCACUCAUGUCAAUUAAACACUCAUGAGCAUCACUCAUGUCAAUCAGCUUCAAAAGCUUCAUUUACAAAAGCUCUAGCUUCAAAAGCUUCAUUUACAGAGCUCCAGCUUCAAAGCUUCACUUGCAAAGCUUCAUUUACAAAGCUUCAGUGCAGGAUAUACAAAUACCACCUCCGAACAACCGCCACUUCGGCCCAUACAUGGAUUCAAUUUGAAGUCUCUAGCUAACAGACUCUAUUGACUGAAGACUUGAGGGACUACACUAUACACCAUAUAUUGGGCCUCAACUAGGCCUCAUGAAAAAUACUUGGGGGACUCUAGCCCAUUAUUUAUGUAUUGAGGAGCGAGCCCUUAUUUUAUAAAAGGGAUUCCCUCACCAUCAUUAGAGCAGCAUCAACUAUAGCCCAUUAUUCAUGUAUUGAGGAGCGAGCCCUUAUUUUAUAAAAGGGACUCCUUCACCAUCAUUAGAGAGCAACGCCGCCAGCUGAGCAACCGUCUCGCCGCGAGCAUCAACUCUAGCCCAUCAUUUAUGUAUCGAGGGAACGAGCCCUUAUUCUAUAAAAGGGACUCCUCACCAUCAUUAGAGAGCAUCAACUCUAGCCUAUCAUUCAUGUAUUAAGGAGCGAGCCCUUAUUCUAUAAAAGGGACUCCCUUAUCUUCAAACGCCGCAAGCCGAGCCAACCAAGGCGCCAUAAGCCACGAGCUGAGCAGCAUCGCAGCAUGUGCUACUUCUAAUUGAGCGUCAUUUCAGAUUGAGCACCGCCUCAUAUCAAACAUCAGUUCAAGAUAACAUCUAGUUACUUCGGCCCACACAUGGACUGAAUUUCAAGUCUCCAGCCAAAAGACUCUCUUGACUGAAGACUUAGGGGACUACUGUUUAUACCAUAUUUAGGGCCUCGUAUUUAGACCUCGUAUAAAUACUCGGGGGACUUAAAUGUAAUUAUGUGAUAAAGGAAUGGACAAAUAUGUAAUAAGUGAGGAGUCCUUAUUCUAUAAAAGGACCCCUCACCCUCACAAUUAGAAAAAGGCCUCACUCUCACUCUCAAAAAAGCCAAAUUCUUAGGCCCUCUCACCCUCUCUCAACGCUCUCACUCUCAGAGCUCUCUCUCCUUCAAAUAAAUACAAUCAGUGUGGACGUAGCCCAAACCUUGGGGUGAACCACGAUACAUCUUGUGUUAUUUACAUUUCAUGCAGAUUCACGGUCGGAUUUACGUUGUUCCAAAACCUCCGGUUUUGUGCAUCAACAAAGCAAAUGACAAAAAUAACCUCAAUUCAAUAAAUAAUGGACCGUAAUAAUUUGACAAAAAUUGAAGAUAAUUUUUUUUUUUUUUUACGAAAUGAUCAUGUUGAAUAAAAUCAGAAAUCUCAAAACAAAGUGAGGAAUUGCAUAACAAUUUCAGAUAUCAGCUAAAAAGUAAAAAAUAAAUAUAAACAAAAGAAGAAACGAAACUUCCGACGCUGUGGGCUGCGACUUUGACUGAUUGAGAGUCCUCCAUCCGCAGCUCCUUCGUCUUCCUCCCAAACCUUUUACCUUUCUUCUUUCUUCUCCAAAACUAGCAAGCUGAGAUUUCAACCUCUCUCUCUCUAAGAAGCAGCGGCAUGCUUUUCCAAACUCAAUCUGCAAUUUAAUCAAACAGCCACCGAAUUUUCUCUAAUCCGGUCAACGCAGAGAUGCUUCGGAUUUUGAUCGGUCAACGCCAGCUGCUCACCUGAGCACCAACGGGCCCAACAGUGAUGACGUCCUCCGCCCCUGUUUCUGUUUGGCUGAUUCUGCUGUUUGGAACCUCCAUAAGCUCGCUGCCAACAUAGAAGGUAUGUCUGUGUCUCUGUGUUUUUGAAUUUGGGUGUGUUUGGUUGCGGGAAUUGGAAUGAACUAACGAAUGAAUGAAUGAAUGAUUGGAUUUGACAGGUGACGCAUUGAACGCGUUGAAGACCAAUCUAGCUGAUCCAAACAAUGUUCUGCAGAGUUGGGAUCCGGCUCUCUACAAUCCCUGCACCUGGCUUCAUGUCACUUGUAAUAGCAAAAACAGGGUUACUGUGGUGUAAGCAAACCCAACAAACACCUCCUUUUCAAUUCAGUUCAAUUCAAUUCGAUUCGAUUCAGUUCAGUUCAAUUCACUUGUAACAGCGGAAAUAGCAUUACGGGAAGUUUUUAACAUUUUUGCUCCACCCAGUGAUCUUGCCAAUGCCAAUCUCUCUGGUCAUCUGGUGGCACAGCUUGGUGUGCUUUCCAAGUUGCAGUACUUGUAAGCAUGUUUUUCGCUCUGAUUUUUUGUUCGGGUCUUAUCCAACUGUUCCAUCACUAUGCAUUCGAAUUGAAAUUGGUAUUGAUACAUGACUGAUGAAUUUCACAACUGCAUUUGACAUUAUUGAAACACACUUUCUUGACAGGGAACUUUCCAAUAAUAGCAUAACUGGAAACAUUCCCGAAGAGAUUGGGGGUUUGUCAGACUUGGUGAGCUUGGAUCUUUACUUGGCAACCUUGCAAAACUGCGUUUCCUGUAUGAACCCCCAUCCCUUUGUUAGAUAAAAUCUAUCGUCUUUCUUUUUUUAUUUGAUAUGCUAAUUAUGCUGUUCGGCUCAACCCAAUAUUGUGGUCAAGGCAUGUAGCUUGAGUUUUGACUUUUUCUAGGAGUGGGUCCUGAACAGUAAGGGGCCUUAACAUCGGAAUAUUUACAUAAAUAUACUAGCGAUAGAACCCGCGCGAUGUCGCGAGUUUUAAAACUUUGUUAAACGUAUGCAAAUAUAUUAAAAUCUAAUUAUAUCCAUAUCAAAGAAAUAUCUAUUUACAUCCUCAUAUUCAAUAAGGGAAAAAGAUAUAUAUAUAAAUGUAGGAUAUAUCACAUAUUAAAAUUUGUCUACAUCCAUACCAAAGUCUAUUUGCAUCCUUACGUGUAAUAAUGAACAAAAGAUAGGUAUUUGAAGAAUACAUUACAUAGAAAAAGUUGUGGAUUAAGUUGUUCAUACAAAUACAAUCAUAUAAAAAUAUAUUCAUUUUCCUUGUCCCAACUUUUCUACAUUCAGUACUUCACUCUUCUUUCUUCUUUGUUUUUCUGUAGAUGAGGAUGUACAUUUUUCCUCAAGUAAUCUGUUCAAGAUAAAUUCAUUGGUUAGGCUUCUGAAUCAUAUGAGCCUUUAAUUGGCUUAUAAAAAUGCUCAUUUUUCAUAUGAGAAGGACAACCAGUUUAGAGUUUCGAAAGAUAAAUAAAAAUUCCAAUUCUCACCAAGAAAAAAAGCCGAAGAAAUACAAUGGGUUUAGAUGAGAGACGAAGUCUUUACCAACUAACAAAUGAAGUAAAUCAUGUUGUUCAAUACUUGAGCUUCCAAUUUAGUACACUUACAUCUUCAAUCUCCAACAAAACAAAACAAAAAAAUUGAAAAAUCAUUUAGUAUAAUUGUCACAACAUGUUGAAGAUGCAUGUACCCAACCAAUUGCUUCACCGUUCACCUAUAUCCUCGGUGCUAUAAAUUCGAAUAAAAAACCAGUAAAUAAAAGUGGUUAAGCAAAAACCCUCACUUCUCAUUACAUGUUGAAAUUUCUUUAAGCUCUAAACCUACUCCCAUUGUGUUACUUUUGUAGUGCAUGUUGUGCCUUGGUCGUUCGUCAGUGCAGAAGUGAGAUUCAGAUUGUCUCACCAAACUACAGACCCACAGUUGAACAGUUUAAAUUACAAGAAAUAAAUACACUGAGAAAUUUACGAGGUUCGGCAAAAAUCUGCCUACGUCCUCCAAGAGAUAUUGCUCUUCACUAUGAGAAUAACUAGUACAAGAUACACUUGAGUUAAAUUAACAUAACCCAAACCCCAAUCCUUUGUACCCUCACAGAAUUUUACUAAGAGCCUCACUCUCUCCAAGAGUUUCUCACUCUCACUCUAUAUUUUCUCUCCUUUGUGUUCUCCUUCGGAUGCUCUCUCAAAUGCAUUUCUAAAUGCACAAAUAUUGCAUCUAGUUAUACGCAUACACUAGCAACUAUGCCAACAAACAAGACCCAAAAGUCUUAAGUUCACAUGACAUAAUUAUCACCUAGCCUACCUAGCAUGCAUCAAAGUCUAUACCUAGUCUAUAAAGUACAACUUUUCUCCAUUUGUCAUUUAAUACAUAUAAAAUAAAACAUGCACAAUAAAACAUGCACAAUUGUGUGCAAGCAACCAUAAAGUCAAGUCUUGCUUCCAACUUUGCUUGUGGUAGUCACCAUGUCUUCUCUUGAAACAAGACAUCCAUGCCAUAACCGAAAGCCAAACACAAAGUGGUUACUGCCAUUUCCCUGUAGCACUCAGAAAGUUACACUAUCAAAAUUGUUGCCAACUCAUAAGUAUAUGAGCCAAGCACAACAGUGCAUACACUACAAAAACCAAAAAGAAAAUGCUGCAAAGGGGAAAUUGGAAAAUCAUAUCACCAGCAAACAUUGCACGAAAGGCAUCUGAAGAAGCAAGCAGGCAAGUUCUGUGAGCAUACCAUCUACCUGCAAUUGGUCAGUAGAAAUUUAAAGAGGUACUUUAUGUUAACAAUACAAUCACACACGCUAAUUGAAUACUCUGUGAUUAAGAAAAAGAAGAGGAACUCACGCUGUGCUUCUUGAAAACUGGCGAGAGAACUGGAACUGGGUUGGAAGAAUGUACUGGAAGCAAAUGGAACACCCCAGCUUUUUCAGCCUCGUCAUGAAAUAAUAUUAACAAUUCGGUCAAGUAUAAAACCAUCUGCCAGUUAUGGUUUUUGUAAAUUAUGUAGAAGCCAAAUAUCUAAUAAAUAGUCUAACAAUAAUUAAGUAAUCUGGUUUAAGAUUAAUCAAAAAGCUUGGGAAUUUCAGCUGUUAAAUCACACCUCAGGCUGCAACUCGACAAAGUCUGCGAAAUCACAAUCCAAAAUGCGAUCUUCAGUCUUCCGGCCUCUGUUGCAAAAAUUAAUCCCACAGUCCCCAAAAAAUAAAAAACUUGAAGUUUGAUUUGAAAUUAAAAAUUCAUUCUUUGAAGAUAAAUUCCAAAAAUUUAAAAUUAUAUGCGAGAGAGAGACCUUGUUAAUAUUCGGAGUUAGAGUGAGGAGUUCUCGAAUUGGGAGCGGCGGGGUUUCGUUGCAAAUUUUCCGAAGAAAAUUUCCACGAAUGAAGGGUCAUCGCGAUUUUUUGGCUGGAGGAAAUGAGGUUUUAAGAUUUUUGGAAUUUUGAGUGAAUGGACAGUGUGGCUGGUUGCGAGACAGAGAAAGAGAAGUUGGGGUGUUUUCGUCCCCUUUAAUAUCUGUUGUUGUUGCGAUUAUUUGUGAUUUAAUUAGCACUUUCUUUUCCACGAAAUAGGCGCCCAUACAACAACAGCUUGUCAGGGCGUAUUCCCGUGACUCUGACUAACAUUCAAUCAUUGCAAGUCCUGUGAGUUUCGUACACUUUCAUCUCAGUAAGAGGGAGGAGAGGGAAGUUGCUAAUUUCUCCGCCAUCAGAGAAUGCAAAUAACAUAUAGUUUUGCCAUGGAAUGCAGGGAUCUUUCAAAUAACAAUCUGACAGGGGAUAUUCCAGUCAAUGGAUCUUUUUCACUUUUUACUCCCGUCAGGUUUGUUGAACCCACUUUACUUUUUUUUUCUUUACCUUUUUUCCUGCGGUGGCUGUCCCAGCGGACGAUCUAAAUGAUGUACUGACUGCUAUUAUUCAUUUUGUAGUUUUUCCAAUAAUCCUCGUCUGAAUCCACCUCCUCCCGUUUCUCCAACCCCACCAAGUUCUCCAGGUUUUUACAACUUAUACUGUUCUUGUGAUAUUAACUCAAAUUUAUUUUGAGAACAGUUGAAUAUCAGAGUACUAGACUACAAAAUAAGAAUAUUAUUACACAAAUAAGAAUGGCAAAACGGUUGCAAAAUUUAAAAACACUACAUUGUGACACACUUGUUCUAAAGAAAAUAACAUGCAUCCUAUUUAUAAUAAAUUAUAACCUUAAUCUCUAACAAAUCCUAAUUUUAACGGGCUGACCUCAAAUCCUAAACUUAUUACUUUCCAGCUGGCUCUGUUUUGUUUCACAGACACUUGUGAUAUCGACUCCAGUCCAUUGGUAGUUAAUGUUUUUUCUUGGUGUUUUUCUGUUAAAUUUUUUUCAUAGUACAACAUUAUUGUUGGAAUCACUGCUGUAAAGAUUCUAAGAAGAUGGUAGUUAGGAAAGGAAUGGAUUGAGGAUCCGAGAGGAUACUCCUAAAUUCCUAUGAGUUUGAAGAAAUGAAUUAAAACAAUGACAUGUGAGAGGGAGUUCAUCAUAUAACAUCCGACUUUUAAGGAUUUUUCAUCUCGUUCUGGUUCAUGUUGUGCAAAUAACCCUUCCCUUUUAACUCUGGUGGUUCAUAUUAGGUGCCGGAUUCGGUGAAAUAGUGUCCGGAUUCUGUAUCGGUACGGACGUACCAUUACUUUAGCGAUUCGGUGGUGAAUUCAGUGGUUCAUCUAAUCAUAUCUGAUAAUUUCUAAUCAGAUUACAGAAAAGAAAACGCACCUGUAAUUUUUGGAAAGAGAGGAGCGAAACAACUGGAAUUUUGGGAAGCUCGGUGCUUCUGGUUUUCAUCGGGCAGAGAGAAGACGAAGAGGGAGAGGAAGAGAGAAAAUAUUACUUUCACUUUUUGGAUUUAAUUCUUUUGAUUCGAACAAAAUUUGUUGAAUUGAGGUAGCAGAUCUCUUGCAAUCUACAACUCUCCAACAAAACAAUGACUGUGUAUUUCAAGUUUGUAAAUUUUCACCUUUUUUUUUAUUUUUCACCAGAUAAGUUAAUUUCUAGAUUUGUUCAAUUUGGACUGUUAGAGAGAUUUGUAAAGGGUGGAGAGAUCACGUGUUUGUACAAGUGGUGAGAUUCUUAUGUUAAAAAUUAUUAAUAACAUAAAAAAUAAAAUUUUCCACAAUUUAUAUAAUAACACGUGAUGUAUCACUUGUGUUACGAUCACAAGGAUAAAAUUUUCAAUAUAAUGGAUCUAGAGUAAAGUACAAAAAAUUACUUCAACUAUUGGUGUCACGACACUUUCAUACCUCAUCUUUUAAAAUUGAUAAUGUCAUACCUCAUCUUAUGAAUUUGUGUCCAUGUUAUACAUUCCGUUAGGUUGGCGUGCAUUUCUCAGUUAAAUGCUGACGUGACUUGAUCUUGGGGCAAUUUUCUAUUAAAAAAUUAUUAAAAACUAAAAAAAAAUAUUUAAUAUUUUUUAAAUAUUAAAAAAAAAAAAACCAAACAAACACUCAGUCAGUUCAUCCCCUCCCCCCUUCUCUCUCUUCUUCCCCCUUCCUACAACUCCAACCCAGAAAAAAGAAGAGAGAAAAAAUAAAAAACCAAUUUGUCUUCCCCCUCCCCACCCCCUCUUCUCCCCGCACCCACUCUCCACACCCAACCACCCCACCUUCGCACCCAACCUCGCACCCAUUACCUGCAACCCAAAAAAAAACAAAAAAACCCAGAAGAAAAAAAACCAUAUCCCGUUGAGGUGGAAUCGGGAAGCCUUCGCCAGGCCGAUUCCGAAGGUUGAGAACCUGGGCGCGAAGAAAAUGGGGGGAAUGGGUGUGGAGGGAAGAGGGUGGGUGCAGGGGGGACGGACGAACUGGGUUUCUUAAAACAAAAAACAAAAAAACCCAGAAAAAAAUAAUAAUAUCCCGUUGAGGUGGAAUCAGACCUGCAGCGAACACAAGGAACUGUUGUCCAGAGAUCCCGCCCAAAAGAGUUAUGGGUUUACCAAACUCUGUUUGGGUACCAAGUAUUGGAACCGGGUAAAUCUAGACCCUUCUCUGCGACUAGAUCAUAUAAUCUCCAUAGCUGUCCAAAACGGACUACUAUUGGAUCCUCUUAAGUUGCUUUCCAGCGACUAGAGACGAUAGGCGCAUUGAAGAAUUCUUCGAUCGAGACUGCCAGAUCAAUAGCCGUCGUCAAGUAUGCCUUCGCCAGGCCGAUUCCGAAGGUUGAGAACCUGGGCGCAAAGAAAAUGGGGGGAAUGGGUGUGGAGGGAAGAGGGUGGGUGCAGGGGGGACAGACGAAUUGGAUUUCUUAAAACAAAAAAACCCAGAAAAAAAAAACCAUAUCCCGUUGAGGUGGAAUCGGGAAGCCUUCGCCAGGCCGAUUCCGAAGGUUGAGAACCUGGGCGCGAAGAAAAUAGGGGGAAUGGGUGUGGAGGGAAGAGGGUGGGUGCAGGGGGGACGGACGAACUGGGUUUCUUUUCUUCUUCUUCUUCUUCCUCCUUCUUUCUAGGUUUUUUUUUGGGGAGGGGGGGGACUGGGUUGGGUUAGGUUUUUUUUGUUUUUUUUUUUCUUUUUCUUCUUCCUCCUCCUCCUUUUUUUGGGUUGCAGGGGGUUGGGUUUGUGGUGGGGGGUUUUUUUUUUUUUUUUCCUUCUUCUUCUUCUUCCUCCAUCUUCUUUCUGAGUUUGUUGUUAGGGGGGGGGGAGAACUGGGUUGCAGGAAGAUGGGGAGAGAGAGACGGGUGGGAAGGACGAACUGACUUGAGGUUUUUUUCUUUUUUUCUUUACUUUUCUUUAUUAUUUUAAUAUUUAAAUAAUAUUAAAUAAUUUGUUUUAGUUUUUAAUAAUUUUUUAUUAACUUUUUAAUAGAAAAUGGGUCUCGGAUCAAGUCACGUAAGCAUUUACCUGAGAAAUUCACGCAAACCCUAACGGAAGGUAUAACAUUGGCAUAAAUUCGUAAGAUGAGGUAUGACAUUGUCAAUUUUAAAAGAUGAGAUAUGAAAGUGUCGUGACACCAAUAAUUGAGAUAGUUUGUACUUUAUCCAUGGAUCUAUCAGCACUCUUUUCUUAUUAUGUUAGUGGAGGGACCCAUCUGCAGUGUUGAUAUUUUUUAUAGAAGAUGUAAACAGUCGGUGACCCAUAGCAUUUCCCAAGUUCCAUAUUAAUUUGACAAUAUUUAUAUUAUUCUGAUUAGAAAUUUAACAGAAUUAAUUGUUUUUUAUUUGUAACAAAUAAUUGCUUACAAAUAAUCAAUUCUAUUAAAAAUAAUUGCUUACAAUAAACAAUAACUAUAAUUAAAAUGUAUAUAUAUUAUAAUUUUUUUUAAUUUAUAUUUUUUAACGAAUUGAGAACGAAUCGAGCUAAAUAUCAUAUUGUCUAUGUGUACACACUAACGAAUAGUACUAUAGGUUACAACCGAAUUCCGUACCCGAACAGAAUUACGAACUCGCACCGUGCCACUAAUACUGCGGCUGUUGCUGGUGCUGCUUUGCUGUUUGCUGCUCCUGCAAUUGCACUUGCUUAUUGGCGACGAAGAAAAUCACAGGAUCAUUUAUUUGAUGAACCUGGUUAGUGAACUAUAAGAGUAAUAUAGCUUGAUCAAGUUGGUGUUGUAGUUGUUGAAUGGGAUGCAGGUUUCACUCAUCUACUGUCUUUGCAGCUGAGGAGGAUCAAGAAGUUCAUUUACGACAGCUCAAAAGGUUUUCUUUGCGCGAGCUACAAGUUGCGGAUACCUUUAGCAACAAAAAUAUUAUUGGUAGAGGUGGCUUUGGUAAGGUUUAUAAAGGAUGCUUAGCUUUGGCUUUUGGUAGAGGAGGAUCAAAAGUAUUAUUGGUCGAGUUGGCUUUGGCUUUGGCAAGAUUACAAUUCAACAGUCCGGUCCCAAAUGAUAUGCACAUUGGUUCCGUUCCCUGUAUACAUGUAAGAAGCCUUCAGAGGACUAGAGAAGAUCCAUUUUGUAUUUCAGUCAUACCACACUUGUGCAUAUGUUUUGUCUUUGUUUUUUAUUUUGUUUUUGUCUCAUGUAUUUUUUAGAUCACAAAAAUGGAGCUGGCGUUGUUUUAAUUUUUAUAGGGUUAACUGGCAUUACGAAGUUAUAUGGUGCUAGCAUGAAUUAGGAAGGGCCAUAAAAGUACUCGUUCCUGAUGAUUUAUGUAUCUAUCCAGAAAUUAGUUCAGAUUGUCGAGUAAAUAAUCAUUCUGAACUUAUAACUCUCUAUAUUUUUUUAGUGUUCCUAUAGAUCCUAUAGUUACGAUAAGGACACUAGGUCAAGUGCAUGGGUGUUUGUGGAUAGAUAGUGUUUGAAAUUUCAUUGUGAUCAUUGCAAGUGUGACUUUGUGGCACUACCCUUAUAGGUACUUGAACUAAGGCAUUAGGGGAUCAAGAGAUCACUUUGUGUCAUUCCAACACAAGAAUUCGAGCUUUGUCUAAUCUCUUUAAAGUAUCGCCAAUGGGGAUCCCUCUACUAUCUUUGAGGAUUUAUUUAAGACCAACUAUAGGGUAAGACCCAAACCUAAACAUUUGAGUUUAAACAAAAUAAAAAUGCAAUCUAAUUGCGGGACUUUUUUGUUUUUUUGAACAACAAAUAUUUUCUACACGAAAAGGGUGGGAGAUUAGGUUAAGCCUUACAGUGGACUAGCAAUAAUAUUGUUCAAAUUUUCUUUUGGCGAGAAUCGAACCUAAAUACCUCUCACUUAUAUGUGAAGAAGUAAUACCACUAAACCGUAGUACUAAGUGGCAUCUAAUGGUUGCACAUAAACCUAAAAAGUUUGGCUUUUGACCCAAGCUAAACCCACAUUUGGGUUUGUAUUUGGCUGACCCAAAUUUUUGGGGGCCCUACUUUUUUUGUUUUUGAAAGGUGAAAAUUGUUUAAAAAGUAAGACUACUUGUGGGUUAAACUACCGCAAACCCUCAGUUAGCAUGCAAGGUUUUAUGAAGAGUUAAUGAUCUCAUUCAGAUUCAGGAUGGAACUUCAUCUUCCUUAAUUGUACUAAAGCAUAUUAACUUACAUGACGUUAUGUGUGAAAAUUAUAAGAAAUUGCGCCAUUCAUCUAUUGUCAAUUGGUUUAAAAAGUGAAACUCAUUUUCUUUCAAAUUUUCAUAAAACUGAGGCUAAACGUAUGUGGACCUAUUGAAAAUGUUACAUUUCGAGUUUCUACUCUAAAAUUUUCACAAUUUAGUGCGAUUAAUUUUGUACUUAAUUUCCCAUUAAGGUAGGUCAUAGGCCAAUUAUGUACCAUGAUUACCUCUUAUUAUAAGAUAGAAGUGGGGAGAUUCCAAACAAUAUUUCAUCAGCCAAAGACGAAUCAUAUUGGCCUAAUAAAAGAAAGCUAGGACGCGAUUUGAAAUAAUGAAAACCGUUGUGGCAUAUAUAUUGAUGUUAAUCAAACCAAUAUAUCACGAGAUAAAGUAUAAUUCUACUUUGUUUGAUGAAUCCAUCGAAAUCCUAUUUAAUUUAAGGAGAGGGGCAGAUUACAUCGGUUUGGUUUGACAAUAAAAAAUAAACUGAAUCAAAUAGUAUUCAGUGGUUCAGUUCGAUUCAAUUUUGAUCAAUACCACUAUUCAAAUCGAACUAAACCAAAUAAAAAAUGGAGAGAUCAUAUCGGUUUGAUUUGGUUUGAUUCGGUUGGUUUAAGCCUAUUCAACACAUAAAUAAAAAAACAUUAUACAUUUUAAGAGUUUUAUUCUUCUAAACAUCACACAUCUUGCGCGUUCCAAUUGGAUUGAAAGAUUAAAUUUUUCGGAACAUAAAAGUUCAUCAAGUCAAAUAGAACCAAGUUUCAAUUAAAUAAAGUCUCAUGCUAGCAAACAAUUUAUUAGCUAUAAACCUCAUAUAAGCAUGAAAUACAUAUAAUCAGCUUAUUGUUAAUAAUCAUUACAACUUUGUAAAAUUAAACUAAUUAAUAAUUCAAAGAGACAUGGUCAGUUCGAUUUGGUUUUGAUCGAUUUUAAAAGUAUCAAAAUAGAACCAAAAAAAAAAAUAAAUUGUUUUGGUUCGAUUUUUAAAUUAUUUGUUUUUACUUGAUCACCAAACAGACCAAAUUAAUUUUGUUUGAACCAGUUGAUUUGGUCGGUUUUAAUGCUCACCCCUAUCCAAAAUGCAUGGCUACCAACACUAGAUAAAUUGUAAAUGAGAAAUGCUAAGGAGACUCUCUCAAAAGUAGGACUCUCCAUAGACUUUCUAUCACCUCAUGUUUUUUGCACAAUAUUUUAUAAUGUUGGCACGAAAUUAAUGUUAAACUAUGACGACCCGUCCUUAAUUUUAUGAUUUUAGUAAUUUUAAAAUGUGUGAGAAUUGACGAAAAUGCCCCUAGAGGCGAGGGCGUUGACUUUGUUGACGGUCUUUUUGUGACGCGUUCGAGCUACUAUUUCACCGCAUUCUCGAACUACUCGACGAUACAGACACGUAGGCACAAGCAGAAUCGAAUUCGGAGUUGCAAUGAAAAUUUUACAGAUUUACGAAGUCGAAGAGCAUUUUAAUAAUUUCAUCAUCAUCCUAAAUAUUUGGCUCUCUAUUAUUUUAAUAUUUUCCCUUGAAUUUUUGGUCCAGUGGGACUCCCCACUUCUUUUCCCCCAAAUCUCAUGCUUCCAAAUCACUCGGAACUCUCUCUCUUCCCUAUAUCUUCUUCCUCUCAUCUCUCACCUUUCUCUUCUCUCUGUAUAAAAAAAAAAAAAAAAAAAAAGGUGGAGCCGAGCAGUACAACCACCACCUCACCACCUUUCCAGUGAACUACACCUGAACCACCAUACCAUGUCCCUCUGUCUCUCUCUUGUUAUGCAUCUUUCUCCCUCAAUCUCCAUGUCGUCUCUCUCAUCUCUACAAACAACAGGACAACCGUGAGGUUAAGGUCAUCACCAUCGCCGUCUUCCAUGGCAGAUGACCAUCGAACCAAUGUUCCCAAGAUAUCAUAUCAUCUGAAACCUAGCCUAGGUUUAAUUCCAGACAUCCCAACGGGAAUAGCUCUCGAAUCUUAGAGUUCUAACACUGCGGAGACUAUUCAGCAUGGAUCUCACCACUUUCUAUGAAGGUGAGUGUCGAUUAUGCUUUGUGUGAUCUCCCCCUUGUGGUUUAAAAUGACUUUUAGGCUUAAUGAGUGAAGUUUGGAUUGGUUUCAUGACAUAAAUGGCAAGGGAGGAAGUUUUCCAGAUUUCUGGAAAAUUAGUAACCGUGGUCAUUUGACAACUUUCAGGCCAUUUUUUUGGCCAACACCGACCUUAACUCGGCCUCACCUUGGUAUGGUGUUUCUCUCUACAUUUCUAACUUCAAAAUGGCUCUUGAAUUAUUGAUUUUGGUGGGAGAAUCAAGCUCGAUAUAAGCUCUGGAAGUCGGACAAAAAACCUGCAAAAUGCAGGCCUUCGCAAGGAAGCUGAGUACAAUGGUACUUGCAGGCACGUAGGCAUGCGUGGGCUUUACAUGGGUCAUCGGCGCGUGGAGAAACCCGAGGUCCCUCUUUAGGUUUCUCGACAUGCUGGACCCGAAUCCGCCCUCAUUUUUCCCCACACUUUGUAUGAAAAUGUGUUUAUACGUUAGUACUUUACGUAUUUACAUAUAUGGUUUCGUUUCUAGGCGAAAUGCCUCGAAAGGACUCUCGAUGCUACGAGUCGGGUUCGACUCAACGACAGGAUUUGUGAGUGGGUCUUUUCUUGAUACAUACAUACAUACAUACAUACAUACAUACAUACAUACAUAUAUAUAUAUAUAUGUUUAGUUUCCAUAUAUACAUCUAAUAAUGAAUUUUCUAUAUGAAUGUCAUAGUUAAAUUAAUAUUUAUAGAAAAUGACGUAACGAAGAGAAUUAGGAAAAUCAUUAUGAAUCUUACGGGAUGCCUUAGCUAAAUUUACGGCUAUGAAUAAUAUUAUGUUGACUAGAAUUAUCAAAUCAUUAUGGCAUGGCUACAUUUAUGUUAUUUGCUCAUCGUUUGCUGCACCGGUGUUAGUACUCGCCUGGGCCAGGGCCAAUCUUUCACGUGUAUGUGCACAUCGCACUGUACGCUCACUUUGGAUCCCUUGUAGGUGUCAGUCCUAUCGUACAGGUUGCAAUAGGCAGCUUCGACUUGUAUGUGUUGCGCAUAGCGCCAGUCUUCGCAUGAUUGUAGUACUAUAGUGUAUAUCAUUGUUACACCCAGUCCUAUUCAUGUCAGAAUACCUCUGCAUGAACUCAUGUGUCAGCAUGUGUCAAUGAGNCCACUAAACCGUAGUACUAAGUGGCAUCUAAUGGUUGCACAUAAACCUAAAAAGUUGGCUUGACCCAAGCUAAACCCACAUUUGGUUUGUAUUUGGCUGACCCAAAUUUUUGGGGGCCCUACUUUUUUUGUUUUUGAAAAGCAAUGGGCAAAUUAUAUUAUAUACUAAAAGAGAAAAACGCCUGAAUCACUAUUCAUAGUACAGUGGAUUUUCGAUUUUGUCCUCGCUUAUUUGUCUAUUAUUAUAGCCUUGCCCCUAUUGCUUUGCUGUCAAAUGCUUAACAGUUUCGCGACGCGUGGAAAUUCCGGAGCCUUCUUUGUUAUUUUUCCCUCACCAUUUGGCUGUUUCCUCGCCCACCGCAUAAUUCUUCUACUGCUGCCAAUCCAUAAACCACAACGCGAAUCCGACCGCCUCUUCUUUCCCCUUCACUUUCACGGUUCCACCCCAACAUCAUCGGUAAGCUUUGAAACGUUUUUAUGGGUGUGAGUUUCUGAAUGCAUGUCUAAACUUUGAUUGGAAUUUGGUUGUUUCCUUAAUUCCCAUCAACCCUUCUCACAACUUCAUCUAAAAUGCUCUGCAUGUAAGAUCUGUGUUCGUGUAGGUCAUUUCAAAGGGAUUUCAAGCUGGGUUGCAAAGAUUUGAUUCAAGUUUGUGGAUUUGGGUAAGAAAUUAAGAACCCCUAAUCUUUUCUUAAGGUUUUAAAUGCCACAUGCAUCACAAUAAUCCAUUCAAAAUCACAAUUUUCCUCCGUGCUUCCUCCGUUAUUUCUUCACCAUCAACCUUGCGGCAACUUCCUUGCCGAUUCGAGCUGCUCGACCAUGACAUGAACGCCGCCUCCACACGUUUGACUCGCUGUACGUCCUUGGCUUGCCGCUCUCCUUAUCUCCCGGUGAUUCAUUCUCCUCAUUGGAUUCUAUUUGGGUGAGUUCUUGGUUGAUACUCGCCCCCAUGAUUUUUCAAUUUGGUUUUUUUGGGUGUCUUUAGUCGUCGUGUUGAUAAAAAUUUUCUGCGUUUUUUUGCUUUUCGUUUGUGGUUUUUUUUUAAAUUUUUUUGGGGGUUUGAUGAAUGAAUUUGUGUGGGAGUUUUUGAAGUUUUAUUAAUUAUGUUGUAUUUGGGCCCCUGGGUAAGCUUAGAAACCUUUGUAGAUGUCGCAUGCAUGUAGAUUUUUCUUCAAACAUAUGAAGAAUUGUUAGUCUGCUGUACAAUUUCCUCUGCCACCCUUGGAAAAUCAACAUGCACAGACAUUUUAGAAUUCUUCAUUUAAAUUUGCAGGGUUCAGGACAGUUUUUCUUUUAAAGUUAUGGGUUCUUUUGAUAUGAUUUUUUUUUAUUUGAAUUAUUCAUUUAAUUUUUGAGAUCUUUUAGCAAAUCUCCAAAUUGACUCAUAAUGAUUAGGCUUGAAACAGAUGCUAUAAAUCAGUUUUGGUGGAGGAGUUGUUCCGCAGCCUCAGGAAAAAUAGAGGAAUGUUUUUGAAAUAAGGUCUGAUCGAAACUUUUGUAUAAAAUUUCACAAUUUUUGAGUUUUAAGCCAUUCAAAUUCACAUUUGCCUACAUUAAUAUAUUAAGUAGGUUACUUAUUGAUUUUUUUUUGGGAUUUUCUGUUUUUCAUGGUUUCCUAAUCCUUUGUCCGACUUGAAUGUGUAGCUAAGCAUACCAGCAAAUCAAAAGGUUUUUUGAGACGGAGGGGUGCUCUGGCUAUUCCAAUAGUUUCGGUACUGCUAGCAUGUGGUAUUAAUCAUUGUGUUGCCUUUGCCAUGCUAAGCGGAUAAAAAAAGAGUAAAACAAAAGGUAUGAGAAGUAGUCAUCCCCUCUGAAUUGUUUAACGGUUUGAUCUAAAUAAAAGCAAUGCAAUUUCAUCUUAAUGAAUGUCUACAAUUGGUUCAUGUGAUAGCACAGACUAUACGGAGAGAGAUGAACUUGAAGAAGCGAGGAGACACCCCGAGUUGCAAUAUUUCGGUCUGAGCACCAUAAUAGCAGCCACAGAUAACUUCUCACCCAUUAACAAACUCGGCCAAGGGGGUUUUGGCAUUGUUUAUUAGGUGAAUCCCAAUUCAGAAGUCUUACACAUUUUACAAUUGAAUGAUUUCUUCUAAGCAUUAUACAGUAAUUUUGUUCUGUUUCUUAUGUCUACUGUUUUUUUUUUUUUUUUUUUUUUUUUUUUUUUUUUUUUUUUUAUAAAGCAUGAAAGCCUAAUAGUAAUACUGAUUCAUUACUUCAGGGCCACUUGCCAAAUGGUCAGAUUAUUGCUGUAAAAUAUGUAGAUUGCACUUGAACAAGGUUUGUUUCUCGAAUCACAUUCAUUAGUUAGAUUAUUAAUGUGCUUCGAGAGGGGUUUUCAAUAUGAUUUUGUAAUUUCCCUUGAGAACUGUUUACACGUUUCCAUAUGGGUUUUUUGAACUACAGAAAAUUUUGUCAUUCCUAAGAUUUAAUUGUUGUUAUUGUAUAGUUUAAUUAUUUUCCCCUAAUAUGAUUGAAUGGUAAUUAGUUGUAUAAAUUUGGCUUUGACCGUUCUUUCUCCUCCUUGGGUUCUAUUUCCGUCUCUGACCCCAUUGAACUUCAGUUGAGCUCAAGUAAGCAGUCCUAGCGGCCAGCCUUCUUUUAGGUCACUCAAGGAUAAUUGGGAUCAAAUAUUCGCAUUUUCAUUGUUUGAAGUAGGAAGCACCACUUUUUCCUCUAAUUUUGUUUCUUCUGAAAUUUAAUGGUUCUGAUUUGAAUCAUCUUGCAGAAGAUUGAGAAACAGAAGGUUGGAGGACUAGAUGAUCAAGCAUUGACUUAUUUUUAAAGAAAAGGUAAACCACGAAAAUCCCAAAGUGAUAUCCCACGACCUACAACUAUUUUUGUAUUUGAUUAAUUUAAUUCUUAAUAUUUUUCCGCGUUGAUUUAUGUUGAACUAUGUCUGAAAGGUGGCCUUUGUUCAGAUUGAAAUACAAAAUUAAAUCACAUUUGAUCAGUUAAAUCACAUCUAUAUUAAUGUGCAAAUUUGCAGGAUAUUGACUAUAAUAUUCACUUAGUCAGUUCUCUGUAUUAUCCUUUCUUCAACAGGGGUUGAGAACAAUAUUUAAUAUGUAGGUUGAAUUGAUUGAAUAUUUGGUUUUGUUGGUUGAAAAGUUUAAUAUCGUUUAUUUGUAUGCUCUGAUCUUUGGUUGACGCUGUUAUGUGGAAAAGACCCCUUAUAAAAGAUUAGAGAUGUAACUGGUACUUUGUCUAUAUUCCUGUAAUUUGAUUGUAUAUUGUUUUAUUUACUUUUGUAGGUUAGAGUUUUUAAUUUUUAUGGGUUUAUUGAAUGCGUAAUUCUCUAAGCAUUCGAAAAGGUAAGAUUUGGGAGAGUGAGAAUUUGUAAUUACCUUGAGAGGAAUUCUUUUUAUUGCAUCUACAAAAUAUUUAACAUCAUCUACUAACAACGCUUUGGCUUUCCAGUAAACAAAUAACAGAAGGACCUCCAUACAUUCAUGAGCAUCACUUUUAUUUAGUGGAUUACAAUGAAUUGUUAUCUCACGUAGAUAAAGUUGAAAUUCUCAUAGGUAAUUAAACACAUUUAUAAAUCUACAUCUAUAUGCCAUUUUUGUUUGCCAACAUUUUUUCAUCCUAUAAUCUUAUAAUAUUGGAUUGCCAAAUUGCAAGAUAUUGUGGGACGCAUCACAUCAGUGCAACCAGACAGUUUUGAAUCCCGCAGCAUUGCGCGGGCUUCACUGCUUGUGAUUUACUAAAGUGGCCGACAGAUGGACCCCUCAGCUGGCAGGGUACCAGUUGCAAAACGGUAACAUUUUAAGGGACUACGAGCCGUUUUAUUUUUGGGCCAUUGGUUUUUGGGCCAUUGGUGAUCAACGGUCUAGGUUAAAAUCUUUUUUUGUUUUGCAAUCUUUAGAUUUUGAUCUGAUUGUUCAUAUUUUUUUUUUCAAAUCUAAUUGUAAAAAAAAUCCAACUGCUGAAAUUUAAAUUAAAUGUCAAAAUAAUAAAAUAAUUUUUUAGAACAUAUCCACUUUACAUUUGGAUGGUGUGUGUAUUGAAGUUUGGUUGGUUGGUGUGAUUUGUUCGGUUUUGAAAAUUUUGUCGAAAUUUAAUCAUUUAAUGUCAAAAUACUCGUCAAAUUAAAUUAAAAUAAUAUAAUUCAAAAGUACAAAAAAAAUUAAAAAAAAUCCCACCAAAAAAAUUAGGGUUAAAACUAUAUUCCACAACAAUUAGCAUUUUAGGUCCUGAAAUUUAGGUCUUGGUAUUUGGGUGAUAUUCACUGUUCAUAGACUUAAAUUCCGUCUUUUUAAUGGUCUUUUAAAGGGGUGUGUAGUCAAAUUAGGAUUUGAUAGCAUUUUGAUGGAUUUUAAAAUCUAAGUGCAUUCAAUUAGGAUUUUAAAAGAUUUUGAAAUCAUAGUGUAGUCAAAUUAGGAUUUUAUAGGAUUUUAAAGAAUACAUCAAAAUCCAAGGAUAGUCGAUUAGGAUUUUAAAUGAGUCUGCAGAUGUCUAGGUGUAGUGAAAUUACCAAGGAUUUGCUAGGAUUUUGAUGAGUGAUGGAUUUUAAUGGAUUUGAGGGUUUGUGGUAUAAAUACCAAAUGUUAUCCAACCCUUACCCCUCAAAUUUCUUUUCACACCAGAGGAACAGUCUUCUCCAUUUGAGAGGACCUACUGUGAACUCAGCCGACUUGGACUUCUAUGGCUGGUCGUGAAAUCUUUGCAAGCAUGAGAAGAUGUCCCAGCACCACCAACUUAUUUUUUUCUUUCUUCACCGACUACCCAAACAUCUCACGUAAAUUCCCUUGCUGACUCUUCCUUUCCCUUCAACUACUUCCUAUCUCUGUUGUACUUUUAUUUACAGAAUACACCUUGUUCAAUUUUGCUUUGGUGCCUUUGAAAUGUCACCAUUUAUUAUUAAAACCAAUCAACGUCACUCUCGAAACACGUAUUAUUUGGCUUGGGUUGGAUCAAUUCAUCCAACCUGUAUACAUUCUAAACAUUAUUAAUUUGUGCUAUUACUACGGUAUGAAAAUAUGCAAUUAACUAGUCCUUGGAUUGAGGAUCGUGAUUUCAGACAGUGUAGUAGAAUACACAUAACAAUUAGGGUUUCAAUUGCAGAGAGUUGGAGAGGUUAAUCUCAGCCACAGAGUUUCAUUAAAAAUGAUCUGACGGCAUUGUAUGUGAUUUCUAAAUUUUUUUAAAAUCCUAGGAAAUCCAAGAAAGAAUCCAUACAAAUCCAUACAAAUCUAUAAGAGAAAUCCACAUAAAUCUGUCAAAAUCCAUAUGGAAUUGUAGAGUCCAUUAAAAUCCUUUAAAAUUUGUCACCUAAACAAAAUCCAUUAAAAUCCUCUAAAAUUCAAAUUGAUUACACCCCCUAAAUAUUUUGGUUUGGGUGUAAGGGUUGGAGUUGGUCUAAGGACUUUAAUGGAAUCUUUGAAUUCCUAUAAGUGUAUUGCCUCAUAGCGAACCGGGAUCCUCGCAGGAUCCAUUCCCUAGGGAUCCCGCAAUUCUAUCCGUUCAUCGUAUAUCAUGCGGUCAGUUUUCGUUAGGUACUAUUUACAUUCGAAUUUUAAAUUUUAAAUUUUAAAUGAUUUCUAACCGCACGAUAUACGAUAAACGAACAAGAUUGCAAGAUCACUAGGGAAUGGAUUCGACGAGGAUCUUGGUUCUACAAUAGCUUCACUAUUGGCUAUAGCUUAUGUCAUGGUUUAUAUUAUAGCUCAUGUCAUGGUUUAUUAUUUCUAAUCAAAGUUAGACUUCGACUCUUUGCAACCCUUGGUCAACUAAAUGAGUUAUUAAUUAAAAGUCGUUUGAUAAUUAUUUUGUUUUUAAUUUUUAAUUUUUAGUUUUUACUUUUCUGUUUUGAAAUUAGCCAAAAUGGUCUCUGAAAUUAGCAUAACUUCUCACUUUGAUUCCUGAAAUUUAAAAUUGCCAGAAGUGAUUCAUGAGUUUGUUAAUUAUCAAUCAUUUUGAUCAUUAUGUUAAAAAUAUCCAUUAAAUAAGGAGCAAAUAACAAAAUAACCUCAAUUUAAUAAAAAAUGGGCCAUAAUAAUUUGAUAAAAAUUGAGUGUAAUUUUGUUUUUUCAUGAAAUGAUUAAAAUAAGGGAACUUUAAUGAAAAGUUUAUAGUACUGUUCACUUUAACGAAAAAUCAUAUUUUUACAAUAAAAAGUUAAUCCUGGUACUAUUCAUUUUACCCAUUAUUUUGUCAUUAUCAUUAAAACUCAAAGUUUUCAAACCAUUUUUAUUAAUUUUUCUUUAAAACAAUUUAUAGUGGAUUAAACCAGAAAUCUCAUUUUGAGUGAGGAGUUGCAUAGCAAUUUCAGGAAUCAGCUGAAAAGUAAAAAAUAAAUAUAAACAAAAGAAGAAACGAAACUUCCGACCUGGUGGGUUGCGACUUUGGUUUGGUAUUGCUGUGCUUUGAAAAAAAACUGUUUCUGCUGUGCUGUGAGAAUAAGCAGCUGUGAAAUAAAACAGCAGAGUGUUUGGUAAAUUUUUUUGUAAAAAUGCUUUUGAAAAAAAAAACAGUAUUAUAGUGUUUAGUAAACUUUUAUGUAAAACAGAUGUGAAAAAAAAAAAACCGAUUUUUCAAAGUUGGGUUUUGCAGCUUCCUGUUUUUGGUUUUUUUCACACAAAACUGUAAAAAAAAAAUGUGAAAUUGAAUGUUUACCAAAUACAAUAAAGCUGCCAGCUUUUUUUUAUACCAUUUUUUUUCAGAAUUACCACCGUACCAAAUCAGGGCUUAAACUGACUGAGAGGUCCUCUAUCCGCAGCUCCUUCGUCUUCCUCCCAAGCCUUUUACCUUUUCUUUCUUUCUUCUCCAAAACUAGCAAUCUGAGAUUUCAACCUCUCUCUCCAAGGAGCAGCGGCAUGCUUUUCCAAACGUAAUCUGCAAUUUAAUCAAACAGCCACCAAAUUUUCUGGAAUCCGGUCAAUGCAGAGAUUCUUCGGAUUUUGAUCGGUCAACGCCAGCUGCUUACCUGAGCUCUAACAGACACAACAGUGAUAACGUCCUCCACCUCUGUCUCUGUUUGGCUGAUUCUGCUGUUUCGCUUCUUUCACCUCCACAAGCUUGCUGCCAAUGUCGAAGGUAUGUCUCUGUGUGUUAUUGAAAUUGGGAGUGUUUGGUUGUGGGAACUGGAAUGAACUAAUGAAUGAAUGACUGGAAACAUUCCCGAAGAGCUUGGGGGUUUGUCAGACUUGGU
rnacentral:lncRNA from 1 species